UUUUUUUUUUUUUUCGUAGCGUCCAAUGGAACUCCAUUUCUUCGUAGUUUCUCAUUAAUAAGAGAUGCAUGCGGACAAAAGGACUUAAUCCUGUAUGUACUUAAAAAAUCAACGGACAUAUUGGUGUCACUUGGUGGUAUCUAAUGUGUUUGGUCCGGAGAUUAUUUGAAAUAAUUUUUUAUAAAAUAUAUUAUAUUAUUUUUUUGAUUUGAUGUAUAUGAAAUAAAAAAUUGGGAUGAUAUAAGCAAGUCAAUGUGUGUAAAUAAGGUGCAAAUCAAACACAAUGAUUCGAUUUCGUGCAAGAGGGAAAAAAAAAACUUGGGUUCUGUCUUGAUUUGUGUGAAAAAUCUUUAGGGAUAAUUUCAGAAACCUUCCUGAGUUUUUCACACAAGGAUUACAUAAGGACCUGGUGCCGGUUGGCAGUUGGGUAAUCCUUGUAACUUUUAAACAUGAUUUUUUUAAAAAACUUUUCUCCUUCGACCAAAGAAACAAAAAGAUAAAAAAUUUUAAUUUACUAUAAUUUAGAAAUAAAAAUCCCAUAGACAUUCAAAAAAUGAGUAAAAGAAAAUGUUUGAGAAAGGAAAGAGAGGAAGAGAGAAGAAUGUGACUUUUGUUUAUGUUUCUUUAAUAUUUUGAGCUCCAUUUAUUUGAUGUGUGAAUCAUAUAUCAAGGGAAGGUUAAUAUAAUUAUUUUGUAAUUAUUAGGGGAGAUAAGUGAUAUUUUUAAAAUCUUAGAAAUACUAAGUGAUAUUAAGAAAAACUUCAAGGAGGGUUUUGAUAUUAUCCCUCAGCAAUGAGGGGUCCUUGUCCGUUGUCUGCGUUCCUUCUCUCACUUCCCAAUCUUUUCUUCCCCCCGUUUCCAUAAAGAGAUAAAAAAACGAAUUUGUAAUCUUAGCCAGUGCGAUAUGAAGGCACCCUUAAUUCAAAGUUCAAUGUUAAACUCAGAUGGUGUAGGUUACCCCGGUGAUUUUUUUUCAAUAAUUUUUUUGGGUUGAAACUACAAGGUAAAUUUUCAAGAGCAUAAUUUGGAUAGAAAUGAAACCCGUAAUCGCGAAAAAUCGAAGGUACAAACAUGUUAUUUUAUGUACUCCCUCCGUCUCACUUUGAUAGUUCUGUUUUCGUUUUUCAUCUGUUUCAAAUUGUAGUUCACUUUCCAAUUAAAAAAUGUAGUUAUUUUUUAAUUUCUCUAAAAUACACUUAUUCAAUGUAAGUUGUUAUUAAUAUAAACUACUUUAUUUAAUAUAGAUUGUUAUUGAAUAUAAUCUAUCCCAUUUAAUGCAUUUAAAUUUUCCAAAACAUAUUGAUAUAUGAAAAGCCAAUUUUUUAUUCUUUUAAGCUUAUUUAUAUCAAUUCAAGCUCUCACAAACCAUCAAUUCAAGUUUCCAUGAAUAAUUAAUAUAAAGUUAUACUCUAUUUAAUAUAAGAGUAUUUUAAGAAAAUAGCAAUCUAAGUUUGUUUUUUCAAUAAAAUUAAUUACUUUUUCUUAAAUCGUAUGAAAAAAAAAACUAGAACUAUCAAAAUGGGACAGAGGGAGGGAGUAUCAAUUAUCAUAGUUAGUCACUUGUCAAUUGUCAUUAUUAAGGUGCAAACAUUUAAUCGUCAUUGUUAAGUUUCACUCCAAACAAUGGUCCAAUCUAUUCAAUGACUCUAAUCACUUUGUCAAAUUUGUUUCAAAUUGAUUAGUAGGGGAAAAGAUUGCCACCCUGAGCUGGAUGUCUGGUUCUUCCGUGCCACUAAAUUGUCGAGUAGCACAAAGUGUUGCAGAAUUUGCAAACUUAGAAGCCCUUAAUCCUCAAAGGAAAUUUUAUAUGUUUUAAUCCACGUGAAUACAAUCUACCACUGGUAUUUAACAAGUCAGUUUGUCAUGUCCAAGUGUACGGCUUGAGCAUGAUGCUUGAAUCCGUUGAAACUUGAAACCCUUAGCCACCGAAUUAUUACGGGUAGGUAGAACCCACUUUACCUUAAGGUCGAAGGCCCAACCAAAACCCCCAAAACUCCCAACAAUUUUUUCUGAUCAUAAUUGAUCACGUACCUUUACCAAGAAAGUUGGCUAUGGUCCAUAGUCUGUACCACCCGUCUCAUUAUCUGACCGUUCGUUUGAUAACAAAACUUUGGAUCCGAGGCUGGAACGAUCGUUAGAGCAACUGUUUCGAAAGGUGUAACAUCAUUUGCACAUGAUAUAACAUCAUCUGUAGAAAGUAUAACAAUAGAACACCAACGAGUAACACAAGAACAACAUUUUUGUGGAUCUCACACGGCGUAAAAAUCGAAUUACAAAGAGCGAUUUGAACCGCACAAAUUUUUUUGACUUAAUCACCUUCCGGUCCCAAAACUUUAUGGUGUGUUGUCAGCCAAACGUGGAUAGACGUGAAACAUUAAAUUCACCCUUGUCCUCGAAUGCAUUGAAAACGAGACUCUCGUUUUCUGCGCUUUGUUUGGGACUGGGAGGAAAGGGCGGGAGAAAAGCAAGAAAAAAAAUUGUGGGAAAGGAAAGGUUUUUUCCUCCCAAAAAAGUAAAAAAGUUUAAGUUAGUGAAAGCAUCAGAUGUAUAUUCAGAAGAAGCAUAUGUUCUCAGGCAAAAGUUUGCGGUAUAACGUGAAUAUCUUGGAAUUUUGACAUUUCUUUUCUUUUAUACUCUCAAACCUCAAAAAAAAAAAAAAUCUAUCGUAAAGUAAAAGAUAACAAAUCUUUAUUGCCUAUCAUACCACGUGUUGGUUGUAGGGCUUGUUUUCGAUCGAUCGAUUAUUUAUUUUAAUUGAUUAUAGAUUUUGAUUUUAAAUAAUUAGUUUAUGUGAUGUUUUUAUUCGCUUUAAUAUUCAAAUGUAAAAUUUUCUAAUGGGUAAAAAAAAAUAAAAUUUAUAAUGAACCAAAUAAUAACUUUUAGUGAUUAUAAUUAUUUUAUGUAAUCACUUUUUAUAAACACGUUGUCGCAAAAUCGAACCUGUUCACCUGUGUUUGUUAAGAUCCAAACUAGGCCUUACUGGGGUGUACCAAACGAGGAGGCUACUGCAAAAGGGUCGUAUUCAGAUUCUUCUCUAAGUUUUUGGCUGGCAGGAGGGUAGGUAUUUCCCUCCCGCCCAACAUCCAAACACAAGAAAUAAAAAUGCAUGUCCUUGUUUCUGAGAUACUACUAUCGUACACCUUGGUCGGUUCAGCCUAUCCGAUGGUGGUCGCGGUCCAACAGGAUUGUUGAUGAUGACGGAGGGGCCUACGUGGUGUUGCUGCUGGUUUCCCAUCUGACAUUGCUGCAGUACCGUAGCUGUGGUGUGCGUUUGUAGUUGGGUCUUUACUCUUUACCCUUUCGGGUCGUACUUGAACUUUGAUUUUGGUGGGUUGCAAGUUUGAAUUUGUUACACAGCGAACAGGUGUUUGCUUAAUCACUAAGGGUUGGUUUAGAUUAGUGUUCCAAAUAGCGAACGGGUGUUUGCUUAAUCACUAAGGGUUGGUUUAGAUUAGUGUUCAAAUGCUGAUGCAUGGCCAUAUUGGUGAAUAAUUCUAUAGAGAUAUGUCGUAACUUGUAACGGUGAUGGACAUUAAAAUUAUUCAAAUAUUAUUAUACGAAUAAAUAUUAAUGUUAUAUAAAUUAACAUCGUAUAAUAGCUAAGAAGUGCAAAAUUUUCGAUCCAGUUCACUUCCAGUGUCGUCGACUGAUCACAAAAAUCGGUCGAAUCGUUCAAUCCAAAGUAAUAAAAUUUUCGGUCCAAUUCGCUACUAGCGUCGACCUAUCACAAAAAUCGGUCGAACUGUUCAAUCCAGAUUAACUUGUGAAUCGCAAUUAUUCAUUUUCCAAUUAUUUUUUUUAAAGCGGACCUAAAGUUUUAAACGUAAAACUUACCCGUGGAAGAGCAACCAAACUCUCUCCAUUUCUCACCCUCAAACUCAAAGAUCGCCAUUUUCUUGGGUUGGGUUGCUUGCUGAUAGCGUCGUUUGCUAACUAUUCGCUCUUAGUAUGAAAUAUAAAAAAUUUACCAAAACCGCAAGAGGUGCCUGGUUUGAUCUACCUCAUUCCACAACUUUCUGAGUAUUCUCUCAAUCAAAAUAACAAGUUCAAAGCCAUUAAAUCUUCCUCAAUUCCAGCAAAGGAAAAACAUCUUCAAAAAUUUUCAGCAGCUACGUCAUUUUCAAAAUUAAUGACUACAAUCAGCCGGAAUUUGCAGAACGUUGGCUGUUGAAGAUAAUAGGGAUCUUAUUGCCCUUCUCAGCCUCACUUUGGAAUGCUUCAAAGUUCAAACCCUCUGAAGCAUAUUCUCAAGAGCAGUAUGUGCUUUUUCAUCUAAACUUUAAAAUGUAAGAUCACACUGUAUAUUAUUCAUUCUUCAAAUUCUCCUUUCGGAGUGUAAUAUAUGUAUAUGUCAGCUUCUUCGGGCAACCUAAAUCUCACCUUCUUUUUUACCUUCCCACUUCCACUUCUACUAAUCGAACUCACUCGCGACGAGUCUUGAUCCGCAUCUUGUCCAUAAUCUUCAUCAAUUCUCCCUAAUUUGCAGUCUGCACCUGAGAAACUUCGUCUUGGCGUGAAAAACUCCUGACCAGUAUCAGGAGAAGUCGAAGAUGGAAAAACUCUAUUAGUAGGCAAAUGCUUAAAGAUUUGAAUUUCACCUCCUACAACGCGUGGAUGAGCAUUUAAGUUGGGAGAGGCCAGUAGACAAUCCUCGAGAGUCAUAUACCCCACCUUUCUAAAUUUGUUCUGAGCUGACGAAUUCAUGUGCCUAGUUUGCUUCUUCUCCGGCGGUAGUGAUCCCAGAAGAGUGUUUUGAUAGCGGCCAAUAACCGCCUUCUUCAGCUGCACUUCGUCUGUAAUUGGGCGGCUGAAACAGCUGCAAAUUCCCCCCAUAGGAUAUUCAGUACGAAGUACUAGUAUCUUAAGAUGAAUACUGUCAUAUUCUGAAGUAGGAUGACUAUUCCAGUAGAGAAACGGAGUGUGUUUAUAAAGGCAAAUUUUUAGGACGGAGUGUGCUAGAUGGAGGAAGACGGUUUUGGAUCCUAUGACGGCUUUGUUCAUAUCAUUAUUCUACAAAUACUUUUUAUUUUUAUCUGCUUGUCCACAAUAUUUGGUGGAGUAAACUAAUUAUUGAACGCCGCUGAUUGUUGUCAUCCUUCCUUUGAACUGAAUAUAGCAGAGUUCAGAAGUGGUGAACAAUUCAGAGAUGCGUUCGCUCUCUGAUUCGAUCUAUGACAAUUCGUUUGUUAAUUGGUAAAAGACAAACAUCUCUUGGCUUCUGAAAACCAUUGGCCAGUGAAACCUAGUCUUGGACAAAGCUGGUGAUAAAAUCUAACGAUGGCUUUAUCGUUUAAUGAAGCAUAGGAACAAAUUUUGUGCUGGAAGUCUUCGAGAUCUCUUCUUGUCUUCUGCAGGAGUAAUCGUAAUAGGCUGCUCCGCUGAACAUUAUGUGGGAACAAAGAUUUCAGAGCUUGAUCCAGAAGCUAUUGACGUUAUCUUGUUCAAGAAACAUCCUAGAGCUUCGGAUUCCUUGCCUAUGAAAACUCUCUGUCAACUGGCGGCCAAAACAAACAUCAUCCAACAACAACAUGAGUAGCAAGUGCAGAACUAUUGCAUGCAACAGUAGUGUCUCAAUCGAUAGCACACAAGUAGAGAAGCUACCCCAACGCCUGUAAAUCAGCAUUGAACUAGCACGGUAUGAAAUAGCAUACAAUCAUUAAGUCAUCUCGUGUCCCUUAAUCCAACGAUAGAACUAUCCUAAACAAAGUUAACUAAUCUGGAUACCGGAAAAACUCUUGCGAGUAUGGCUGACUUGAAACGGUUCAAUGAGACCUAUCCAAUCGAUGGAUGAUAAGCUACCUGCUAAAGUGAUCAAAAGACGUGGUAAAGAGAACAAGUAUCAUCUGGUUAUCUUAACUGCACAGCAUGUAUGGCAUAAUUCCUUGGAGGAGGGAUGCGCUUUGACCCUCUUCAUCCCUUCAAAUCAUCGGACUUUUGGUUUUCGAAUUUUCACAUAAGGAAGAAUGCCCAUGUAGUGCACAACUUUUGGGGCCCAACCGCGCUGUUGGGCACGGCAAAACAUCAAAAAUGUGUUGGCGAAGUAAGAAUUAAUACCCAUGAAAACGUGCCACAUGGCAUGUCCCUGUGGAUUGACAGGCCAGCUAUCCCUGCAGAGAACACGAUCAAACAGCCAACACAGAGUGCCAACAACUAGGGUAACUGCAUAUACCUUUGCAACCCGUUUAGCAUACAGAUCGUCUGUGUAUAAGUAAUAUUUGUACAUCCGAGGAAUGCACAGAAGGCAUAGAAUCACGAAAUGCACCUUGAAGCCAAUACCCAAUUGCAUAUGUGAAUGGACCAUUGCGAAAGUAGCUCCAUAGACGACUAGGAAGGUUGGCAUUGUUCUGCGAUAAUGCCAGUCUGGUGAGUACAAGACAUAGAUGUAAAGGAGAGUUUCCCAUAUCACCGGAGUUUCAUCACUUUGCUGCAGCCUGAAGUAUUAAGAACCAUAGAUGAGAAAAUUGCAGUGGUAAAGAAGAAAAAAUGCUGCUUAGUUACGGUGACAGUCAAAUGCAGCACAUAUCAGGCAAAAUGUCACCAAGCCUAAGAUGAAACCAAUGACAUUGAAAAACCAAAAAGCAUGCAUGAAGCACUUUCUCGGUUGACAACCAGUAUAAAAUACUUCCAUCCUACUUACAAAGAUUGAUUGGCAUUUAAAAUACUUCCAAUAUUUGACAUCUAGAUCAUGAUAUGUGCCUUUCUAUUUCACCUAAAUGACAUCUAGAUCAUGAUAGGCGUCUUUCUUGUUGACCUAAGUGCUCUGCUGGAGUUGCAAAAGAGCUUUUUAAGAGAAACAAACGGAGAUGAAAUACUUGGUGAUAUACAAAAUUAAAACUUGAUCAAAAAUCAAGCAGCACGUAAACCCAGCCCAACAUCCUGAGGAAGAAGAGCCGAAAGAGCGAUGAGUACUAAAGCCUGGCAGAUAAGUACAUGGAUUAACCAGGUGAAAGCGUUCUAAACAUAAGAAGCAAAUCCGUGUAUUACUACCCUCAUCCAAAUAUGCAGCAAAAAUCCUUCUCACCUAAUUCAUAUCCAUAUCAGUCUACACAUCCUUUGUUGCCUUUAUGUGGUUACAUAAAACAGCACGCUCGCUUUAAUUAAUACUAAUUAUAAGUUUACUUGCAAAUAAGAUGAAAAAGAAAAAGUAAAAUCAUAAACUUAAGCUCCAAGUGGAAGGGAAACCAUACUGAAAUUCAAGUUUAAAACACCUACACUUCACAGCAUGAAGUAUAACCUGUAGGUUUCUAAUUAAUAUAGAUGCAUAAGGAGGAAAAAGAAUGUCAAGAAUAUGGCAUAUUAGCAAGAAUUGCACAAGGAGAUAUUUUAAAUGUCUGCACUGAUUUAACUUACACGCGAUAUAAUGUAGCAUGGUAUAAAAUGUUCCAAAUUGCUAAUAUCAUGUUUGAUAAAUGAAGAACACUGAAUCUCUUCUCAAACCGUUGCCUUGAAGAAUUCACAAGGCCAAUGAGAGCCAAAAGUAUGCAUGGAAUAUUUGAUAGGGUGUUGAAGAAUUCAGCAAUAUAAGAAGAGUAUACAUAAUUCUUCUCACACCACUCAUUGGUGGAUGUGACCGGACCCCAAAAGCUUGAUAAUCCGUCAGCCAUUACUUUGCAUGGGUACGUAAGCAACUUACAACUAAUUUUACAGUCCUCCCACGCCAGAAUGCUGCAAGAAUCAGAAUUCAGAAGACCAGUCAAAGUUCACAUCUCAGGGAAAGAAAAGAAACUCUAAUAGGAAGAUGAAAUGAAAGAGCUCAAAAUUGUGCCAGGUACCAGACAAUUGAAAGAUCAAACACACAACCUUUCAUGAUAGGAGAUGCUAAUCUGGAUAUAUAUCUUCUAGUCAAUGACAAAGACCUAGGUAAGUGAAUGAACUGCAUAAAAGCCUAGCAAGUCUAGAAAGACAUAAUUAUCGCGGUGAAGAACAACAACACAAGUCUUCACCAAGUGGUGUGGAAAACAUUUAACUACCAUUAUAGAAACCUAAAAUACUAAUUUCCAGGGAUUGAAUUUCCAUAGGAUGCUUCCAUCCAUGCAAUAGGAGGUCCGUGCCAACUAUUCAUAAAAAAGGGCUUUGACACUUUGUGUCCAUAAAUAGGUUCUAAAGGCUACAUCCCACAUGAGGAAGUGCACUGACUAGAUGGAAUUCCCCUUAAAAAUCUUAAUUCGGCGAGAAAAUGCACGAUCUCAAUUUCCUCUGAAUGAUGAAGAAGAAGAUGUAGGACUACAAUUCCAGACAUUAUCACCAACAUCUAUAUUUUGUAACGUGUUUUCAGAUGGAGUAGCCUCUGCUUAAAUAAAAUGAGGUUCUCAAUAACAUCUACUCAUGCUUCAGUAGAAGUAUUCUCUACGCAGGUGAAAAGGAAACUGCAAAAAAUCAGAGACUCGUAUAGGUGAAUCGAGCGAAUUAAGCAUAAGCCAUUUAAGAUAACCUAGCUCCCAGUUCCAUAAUUAUGGGUCCUGCCCAAAUACUCCACCUCUGUUGUUUCCUAGGUUGUCAAAAGAAAGAUCCUGAAACAUGGCGCUGACAUCUGACAAAGGCACAAGCCACGUAAAUUAAUCACCACCAAAUCCCAGAUGAUGAAUGAGAAUCAACCCAAAACGCCAAAAAAAUCGCAACAACCGAUCCUAUCUCAUUCAAAAGGUUGACUCAACACAAAAUCAUGAUGCAAGCUAAGCAAUUCUAGCCUCCUGAAUGAACGGAAGUAGUAAAAUUUUAGGUACAAGGAUUCACAACCCACAUUUCCAUUUCUUAGAUUGAAUCAAGAUUUCAUGAUUGAGCAUGAUGAGGAGUUACUUUAAUGCAAUGGUAGAAUGUGAUCGUCGUAGCAUGCAGGGACGUGUAAAAGAAUAUACCGCAAUUCCAUAAUUACGACCAAAGCAUUCAUUUUGUUUUCUCCCAAUUUUACAUUCUAAAGAAUCCCAAAUGGAUCAUAUCAAACAGUAAUACUGUAAUACCAAUAAUGCUAGAAAAAAUGAGAAAGACGAGAGCAUGCAAGUGAAAAACUGAUUACCUGAAACUACAAAAAAAAUUGGAAAAGCUCUACAAUUUGGGCUUCUCGGUUGGGUGGCUGGUUGGUUGGAGGGCCAAAAGAGAAAAGCUUGAAGAAAACGAGGGAUGAAUGAUACCACUACAAGGACGAAAACUGAUCUUCUUCUUCGACUUUCUCCUUUUCGAUUAUCGAGGCCCCGCCAGGAUGAUGAUGAAGAUCAGUUUUCUUAUGCUGUUAUUUGAUUUAAUUUUCAGUCAAAUAGCUUAGUGAUAUGAAAUUUAUCAAUUUAUCGUGCAUGCUUUGUAGAAAGAUCGUUAGAUAGUCAUUUCAACUUUUGCUACAUCAUAUUUUAAAUUAAUUAUAUCACCUGUAAACUUUUAUUAUACUAUCAUUUUUCAAUUCCGUUAUACCUUCAAGGCAUUAUAAGCCCCCUCCGUGUUUGAUAUUAGCCACCCAGUUUUGUUGUAACUAACCAAUUAAAUGCUUUACUCCCCAUUCCCUGCUCUACAAAAUUUUAUAAUUUUUUUUCACUUUUGUGGUAAAACUUGUAUCAUCAAAAAUCAAUAUUUUGGACAUUCAGGAUGGAAUUAAGAGUUGUAUUGAGUGCUUAAAAAAUUUUGUUAAUUUUAUUAUAUCAAUUCAAUUACUUUAAAUAAAAUUCUCAAACUUACUAUUAAAAAAAGAGAAAUGUUAUUUGUGUUUCAUUUGUUAUUAUUUGCACUCCCACCAUUUGUUUUAUUAUAUAGUCUAAUAAAUGAAAACCAAAUGAUUCGAUUAAAGUGAUAGUGGAGGCGUGCUUAACAAAAAUAGGAGUGCAAAUAAAGUUUCCUUUUUAAAAAAAUGUCAUGAUAAUGCAAAUUAUGUAUGCCUCACAAUUUUUUUCCAAAUAAUUUACAACUAAGAAUCAUUUGCAUAAUAGAUACUUUUAGACCAUAAGGAUGGUGAGGAUGACAAGAUCAGCUAUUGAAAAAGUAAAUUGUCAACAACAUAUUAAUUAAAUUUAGGAUUGAUCAAACUUUGCCCCCUGGACUUUAAAAUAGUUACACUUUUUUACUUGGAACCUUAAAAAUAUAGACUUUACCCCAUAAUUACUAGUUAAUCUUGGAAUCCUUAACCCUAUCAAAAAAAGUUAAUGUUAUGACAACAUUGACUUUUUAUUUUCGAAAUUAAUUGUGGUUUACUAUUAUUGCCCUUUUAUUGACGGAAAAAAAUGUGAAAUUUAAUCUAAUCUCCAUUUUCCUACUCUAAGUCUAAAACAUAAUGCAUAUAAGCCCUUUUAACAAUUUUGGUUAAGUUGUUAAUAUUUGACUAAUUAGACAAACAAAAAAAAAAUAACAAUAGUACUAUUCUAACAGUUUACAGUGAAAUAAUAGAAAAUCUUGUUUGAAAAAUAACAAGUUUAAUAUUACCUCAUGUUCUUAAAAUGUAACUACCCCAAAAUCCGGGGGACAAAGAGUGAUUAACCCUUAAAUUUAUAUGCUCAACACAUAUAUAGAAAACAAAAAUUUAGCAAGAUUUAUAAAAAUAAAAAAAAAAGCGCAAAAACACUACUGUGACUAUUUAUUCAAUAAAGCAACUAUUUAUUGAACAAGUACUCAAAAAAAUUGUAUAUAUUAUAUGAAUAUGAUCUGGGAGCAUUAAUGCACGGUUUUAAAUCUAGUUUCGUGGUUCAUCUCUAGCACCGGUAUGCCAGAAAUAUUUUCUUGUUCACUAAAUAUGCAGAGUCAUGUAUCUUUAAAAACUGGUAAAAUACCAUACAGCAGGGUAGAGAACUCAACAUGCUGUCCGUCUAAUGAAUGUCUUCAAAAAAAAAGAAAAAAGAAAAAGAAAGGUGGACUCUUCUACGCCACUCCAAAAAGAACUAAUAACCAAAGCUAUUUUAGAAUGUACACCAAAAUGCAUCUAACCCUAUUUAGAGUCAUAAUACACUUGGCACCUGGAGUUUGGAACCUCCUGAAUUGAUCCAAGCAGCAUACGCUAAUAAAUCACUCUGUAGCUUGAUUUCGUUGUAGUCUGAUAGUUAUCAGCAGGUUUCGUGAUCAAUUUUUGUAUGCUAUCUUGCUAUGUAUCCUUGAAGUAAUACUUUACACAAAUUAGUCUAAUAGAAAAGAUGUGAUACUCCUAAGUAAAAAUAAAAAAAUAAAAAAAUAAAUCGCGCUUGGGAUAAUCUAGGAAGCUUUGCAGAUUCAAUGAACCUAGACACGUUCUAAGUUCAGUGAAUUUGGCUACACUUGACACGGCUUCAAUUCUCCGCAUCUUCAAUACUUAAGACCCAAAAAGGAAAUUUUUUUUUUUGUUUUAAUUCUAAUCUACUUGUGCCCCCAGAAGGGAAAAAAAAAAGAGGAGAAUAUAAUAUAUAAAUUGCACACGUGCGGCACUAAUGGUCGACUCAUAGCAUUAUAGCAACGGCAGCCACCCUAGGUGCAAAAUUAUGAUUUUGGCCCUCCAUAAUAGUUACAAGUAAAUGGUUUUAACGUAGUCAUCAUCUAACAUCUAAAUCAAAUAGGAAAAGACUCAAUACUCAUGGGAAAAAACUUUUACCAUUUGUUGUAUGAGAUUUCGCGAACAUUAUAAUUUUUCUGGCCUUAAUUUGCGGCAUAUGAAAGAUGAAAACUUUUAAUUUUAUACAACUUUAAUUAACGAUCUUCUAAAAGUUUUAGUAGUGUGUGUUAUUUAUUGCUAUAAAAGUCACCAUGAAAUAACAUAAAAUUCCAAGCAUGUAUUAUAUUCACGUCAUGCCAAGGUUUUCAAAGAAAGCAUGUACAAGAUACAUGUAAGCCCAUCACAAUUGAAUAGCAAAUUUUUUCAAAAAAUUUUUUCGUUAGUACCAUAAGCACAUUUUCUAAUUCACUUUUUUAUACUUUUAAUCACAAUUUUAUCUCGCGUACAUCACAUCACAAAAAGUAUUACAGUAAUUAUUUCAAAUAAUUAUUUAGAAUAAUACUCUAUCCAAACAAAGCCGGUUACAUAUUAAGAAAUUAGAAUUGAAGGUAAAUAAAUUUUGGAACAGAUUUUCUUCUGGAAUUUGGUUAAAUAGAAGUUACAACGGGAUUGGAUUAAGCUGUGAAUUUGGUUAAAUAACCCAUCCACAUACAUUGGCGCGUACCCCCGUAGCCAAAAUAUGCAGAAUAUACGCAACUAAACCGAAGUAGGACAGUAGUGAAACGUAUGCUAUAUAAUAUAACUCUGUGUCUAUAAUCUAUGUGUAAUGUCGUCUCGCAAUCUUCAUAAUGUCUUCAUCGUGACUCCUGUAGGCUCCAUUAUUCUUCUUUCUUCCCAUCCCAGAAUAAAUGUGGACAUCAUAGCAACAUACAUGACUCUGAUGUAAUCCAACUCUACAAGCACAAGAAAAGAAAUCUUUCUCCUUCCUCUAUAAAAGCAUAACCCUCUCUUCCGCCCGGAGUCAUUGUCGUCCAAAAGAGGUACAACCCCCACCCCGCCCCCCCCCCCCCCAAAAAAAUUGAAAAGAAAAGAAACAGAAAUUGACCGUAGAGAUGGCUAGGAUACCUGUUAGAUUCAAAAGGGUCGUGGCAGCUUUUGAUGAGGAAGCUCGGGCUAGGCUGUAUGAGAGCAGUGGCAGCGAGCACUCUGCAGAGACAUGUACCGAUUUGUCACAUUUAGUUAAUUCUUUUCUUGAAAACGAGGAGGGACUUGGUGAUCCUCGGGGGAUUGAUCAAAUGAACGAUGGGGCUGAAGAUUCAGAUGAAUCAUCGGAGAGGAACUGUUCUGAUUCCGACAUUAAGGACAGUUUGAAGAGGUUGUUGAAUUGUCAAGUCGAUGAGGUGAAGAGACAGAUUCAUACGGCGGUGGAAAAAGCUUCAAGGGAAGUUGUUGGCGCCCAUGGUUCGUCAACAGUUGAUUUUAAACGGCGUCUUAUGGUCCGGUUGCGUGAUAGAGGUCUUGAUGCUGGUAAAUAAAUUAUCAACUCCUCCUUUGUCUUUAUAGUAGGACUCUACAUACAAAAUUUUAGCCCAGUUUUGCUGAUGAGAUGCAGCAUCCAUGAGCAUAUACAGGCUUUUUGUUCUCUAUUUUCCUGGUAUACAUGCAAAAUUCUUUUGAUGCAAGCAAGAAUAACUAAUCAACCUUUUUUUUUUGUUGGAGGGAAAAUAGAGAACGAAAGUCUUGUUCUUGUUUGGAUUCCUUUUUCUUUUCUUUGGGAAACAAAUAUAAACUUGAUCGGGUAUGCAAGAUAGGGGACGUGAUGUGGGUAUAUUAAUUUUUGCAGUAGUAAAAAUUAGGCAAAUGUUUUUAAUACUUUACGCUAUUGGUUCAUCACAUUGCUGCCACUGUUAUGACCAUAUAAGGCGAAUGCCUAAAACACUAGUUGCAUCACGUGGACUGUUUACUCGUUGUCUAAUUUCUUGAACUCGAUUUUUUCUACAGGCUUUUGCAAAUCCAAGUGGGAAAAAGUUGGCCACUGCCCUUCUGGGGAUUACGAAUAUAUUGAUGUUUAUGUGGCUGGAACUAGGUACUUUGUUGAAGUUGCUCUAGCUAAAGAGUUCGCGAUAGCCAAGCCAACCGGGCGCUAUACAUCCUUACUCAACAUUUUCCCUCAAAUAUUUGUUGGCAAAGAAGAUGAGCUCAAGCAGGUGACAAGAUUAAUGUGCAGUGCCAUUAAGAAAUCCAUGAAGAAAAUUGACAUUCAUUUGCCACCAUGGAGGAGAUUAGGUUACAUGCAAGCAAAAUGGUUCGGCUCUUAUAAAAGAACAACCAAUGAACUUUCUCCAGCUCAAAAAGCAUUUGAUUCUGACGAGGACGACUUGAGAAGAAGGAAGAGAUCAGUUGGUUUUGUGCCCGUGCCAACGAUUUCUUUCCCCUGCAGAGAACAUUUCUCUACUAAAUGUGUUGGUGGUUUCAGAGUAGGCAACUUGGCUGCGGAGUUGAACGGCAACAGCGUACUAUCGUAGGUUAACAAUUCACAAAGUUGGCCAAUUUGUGUGAACAAAAUUUGCCCAACAAAUGGCUGCUGCUUUUUUGAGACGAUAGUCUAGGCCUGCAUAGGAUAAGCUUUGAUUUCUUGGAAUUAGUUCGAUUGCUUUGGAGGGCUACUGGAGCAAGAUUCCCUCUACUCCUCCAUAAAUCUCUUGCAUUAUAUUACUAGUUUUCUGAUCGCCUCAUUUGGCUGCUGAGCAAUCAAAGCCUAUAUAUAGACUUGUUUGUUAAGUUUUUUUCCCUUGCAGUACAUGUCUGCACUCUGCUAUGUACUUUUUCCAUGUGGCUUUGCAGCUAUUGAAAACUGCAGCCACUUUUGUACAUCUCCGGGUCAUCCAAACGCUUGUUUCGUACUAUCAUAACAUUUGUAUAAUUUAAUUUACCUAUAAAAAAAUUAUACAAGAAAUUAGGAGCUAUUUAAAUUUAAUUAGAUUAAAAGAGUGUUUUGAUAUCUCUUUUGAAUUUUUUUUACUUCAAAUGAGGUUUAAACUUUCAAAUUACAGCCCAAAAAGGACUAGUCUAAGAAGGAUUAAUUUUUGAUGGCCGCUGAGCCAAAAUCAGUAGUUUUCAAACGCUUGUGUUGGACCAAGAAAGUUUGCGUAGUCGUACAAGAGCGACUGAUGAAUGCCAUUAUGCUGAAAUCCAAAGAGCCAUUAGUCAAAGAUUAGGGGUUCUAAACUCAAUAGCGAUCAAGCACAAACAAAUUGGUACCACUGAUGGCAACUUUUGAUUUUCUAGUCAAAGGAUGGUAUCAUUUGUCGCAGCUUUCAUUUUCUAGUCAGUCGAGGACUGGAAAUAGUGCAGUUAUUUAAGCUUUUCAUCUUCUCAAAAAAAGACCCAUGUAAGAGAAAAAUAAAAAUAAAAAGACCAAUAUUAUUGAUUUUGGAGGCAUAUAAGAGAAUCCGCUUUUCUUCAAUUCAAAAUAAAAGUCCAAAAAAGUAGUUUUUUAUAUAGUUAUUAAGGGUGACAAUGGGGCGAGUAACGGGCGGGGUUGUGGCCGGGGCGUGGGACGGGGGUAUAUUCCCCGCCCCAAUCCCUGCCCCGCCACCCGCUUGAAACAAUAUAUAUAUAUAUAUAUAUAUAUAUAUAUAUAUAUAUAUAUAUAUAUAUAUAUAUAUGUACAUAAUUAUAUAAUAAUGGUAUUAUCAAUUAUAUUACUAAUUAUAUAUGUUUAUUAAUAAAAAUUAUUAAUUAUUUAUACUAAAUUUAUUAAUACAUUUAUAUUAAAUUCCUAACUACACUAAAUACAAUAACAUUUUUUUCUAAAAAAAAUACAAUAAUAAUUUAGUGAUUGUAUUUGUAUCAAAAGUGAAAACUUGAUUAUUUUAGUUAUAUUUUUUUUAUCAUAUUAGAUUGUAUUUAAAUAACUUUUGUUUAAUUAUUUUUAUGAGUUUUAAUUGUGAAGUUACAAUGAAUAAUAAUUUGGUGAUAUGUUAAUAUUUUAGUACUUGAUUAUUUGCUCAAAUUUAAUUAUAAUAAAUUAUAUAAUAAAAUUUUUUUAACCCCGCGGGGAAGCGGGACGGGACGGGAGAAGUCAGCGUCCCCGCCCCAUUGCCACCUCUAAUAUUUAUGAAUUUCCAGAUUCUCACAGAAACCAUUAAGCUUUUUUUGUUUUCCGUCAACCAGCCCACUAAACUAUUGGAAAGAUUCAAUCAGCCCAUUCUGACAAACUAUCGAAAACGUUCAAUUUGCCCAUCAGCACCCUCUGUCAAGUAACAAAUAAGUUAGACGGCAUUCUGUCAAAUAAGACACUUUACUCAUGACUAUUGUUAAUGUUAAUAUAGUUUAGGUUGAAAUAAAAACAAAAAAAGAGCAGCUUAAUUUGGGAUUUCUUUGAUCGUGUGCCUAGGUAGCUUGUAUUUGCCAUCAAAAUCCCAUUUGUCAUUUCAGUUGAGUCUUGCCAUCCUUUCCCUCAUAGUUGCAUCCAAAUAAUUGCAUUUCAGAUCGCACUAAAAAUUAUGAGCAGUAACUUUUAGGGCCAGAGUACAACUUAAAUCAAUCCGAAAGAAAAUAUUUAUUGUAGGCACCCGUUGACGCAUGCUGCUGAAGGAAUCAGAGCAGCAAGCCUGGAAGAUGCAAAUUCAAGCAUUGAUGUCAGAGAAGGGUGUUUGAAACGGCAAAAUCCAAAUAAUUGCCAUUUUCGUCUUCACCCCCUCCUCUUGCUGGGUGGGGUAAACACUUUCCCAACCUCCUGACGAAAGCUCAGCAGUUAACUACAGCAGGUUUUCUAGAGACGAAAGGAUAAACAGAGAGUACAAAACGGCACUUCAUCCAACUUUCACCCUUCAACUAUUUAGCUGGAUUGAUUACCAGAAGUGAACAAAUUAGCGGAUAAAUGGACGGACGAGCUUAUGUGAAGGCGGAUGGAGUGCGGGCAAAGUGGGAGGGGCGGUGAUGGUGCUGUAAACUUUGUAGUACUACGCACCAACCCUAGAAGUCUCGGGUGUGCUUCUUCAGCUUAUAAGCCGAUGGGGGGUUAAAUCUUGGCCGUUCAUCUUUUUUAAGCAGAGUGACCUUUUGUAUUUUUUUUUUUUGGUCUCACCCAACGUCCUUCUCUUCUCAGCAUGCCUUUAUUGGGGGACUGAGAUAGGGCAAUGGGCAUGGACUGUGGAGCAGAAUCCUCUGUACAAAAUACCAAUUCCAUUACUUCCUUUCUGCCUUACAAUAUACAUCUUCACCUCAAAUUUACAAGUCUCGAACAUGACAUCGAAGAUCGAUUGAGCUAUUCGCACGUUUGUUCGGCAUAUCUUCAACCACAAGUGUACCGAGUCUCACACGUGAAUUGUAUCAAGCUUAAUUCAACUGCUCACGAAUUUGUUCGGUUAAAACUCGAACUCACCUUAGCUAAACAAGGAGGUCAAAAGCUUUCCAUCUGCCUUGGCGAAAAGCAUUUUCGUACAAAAGUUAGCCUCUCCUCUGUGUAAUUGUGCCUAAUCUCAUCUUUGAAUUGCUAUUUCCACGAGUUUUAAUAGAAAAAAUAUAUAUAUGCUGUAACGAUUUGAUUUGAUGUACGUGAUAUAAAAGGGGUGAUUGAUUUGAUGUACGUGAGAUAAAAGGGGUGAUCGAAAAAUCGCAAAAAUUUUUCUCCAGGCAAUCACAGACCAAACAAAAUGUCUGAUUCUUCCCAAAUCCCAAUAGCUAGAAGCAAGCUUUCACAAUCCGCUUUAUAAGUUUCGAUUAGAGUUAUAGUUUUUAGCCAGGAAUAUAUUAUUGUACUGCAAUAAUUGUACUAUAUAAGUUACAAGUAAUUGUUUUACUACAAUUUGUUAUUCGGAACAAAGUGGCCUUGGAUGGCUUUGAUAUAGUAGCAAAAUUAGUAGUGGUUUAUUUUAUUUGAGCGGGAUUGGGAACAGGGUUAGUUUUGGAAAGUUGCUUACCAUAGGAAAGGAGGUGGAUUAAAGAUUAACUCCAUCCCAUAUAUAUACUAUAUAUUUGCAGAGCGAAAAUAAAAUACCGUGACAAAAUUGCAAUUUCCUAUUUUUAUUGGUUUACGAAGUAAAUCAAAUUAGACAAAGCGGAAUAAAGGGAUCGCCGACGAGUCUCCGCCGCCACCGUGAAUGGAGGGAGUAGGGGCAAGACUCGGCCGGUCCUCUACGCGGUACGGCCCGGCUACUGUGUUCACCGGUCCGGUCCGUAAGUGGAAGAAAAAAUGGAUCCCCCUAACGCCGCCAAACAAUAACAAUACUAGCAACCACCACCAUCACCAAACGGCGGCGCCCAACGGUGCCGGUAAUGGAAAUAACGGCUCUCACCUGUUGCUGUACAAGUGGACGCCCAUAACUCCCAGCCUCAACGGCAACAAUGGUUACGGGAAUGGGAAGACUAACGGUGACAAUAAUGAGGAGUCAAAGAGCUCGCAUAAAGACGACGCCGUAGCUGUUGACGAGCCCCCCAAGCGUCAAUUCAAGUAUAUCCCGGUACUUCUCUGUCAAUCUACUUUGCAGUUUUUCAAUAUUCAAUUUGACCAUAGAGUAUGUUUGCUCGGCAUUGAGAAGUGAUGUUCUGAUUUUAGAAGGAAUUUAAUUUCAUUUGAUUGUACUGAUUAUUGGAUUUUUUUAGUGUAAAAAGAGGGUUUAGGCUUUCAGAUUGAGAUUGGGGAAGUGGGAAUCUUUAAAGAAUUGAAAUUUUGUGGUUUGCUGUUUGUAAAGAUCUGAUCUUGAGUGGGAAAUUGAACGUGCUGUGGAAUGCGGACACGUAUUGGAUAGCUUUGGGGCGUUAGUUAUCACAUAAUUUGAAAUUUGAGAAAGUAUUCCAUUUUGUUCGAUUUUCUUUCUUCUUCGCUUAAAUAUUCGGUACGUGUUUGGAAACAACUUCUUCAUCGUUUUUUAAUUAGACUAUCAAGCUCUGAAAGCUUCCAAUGCAGAUUGUUUUCACUAAGAAAUAAGGAGCUCCAAAGGUCUGCCUGUAGAUAUAAUAUAAUUUGGAAACAUUAUGCCUAAUGUUUCAACUGAUGGUCUUCAAACUUAGAGCCUGAAAAGGAUAUUUAAAAAACUGCUCUAUAGUAGAAGUAUUUGAAAAAGCUGCAAGAAAACUGCUUUGUCUAUCUAAUUGUACUGAAAUUCUACCGCAUCUUUUUCUUCAUUUUGGAGCUCCUUAAGAUGAGAAUGAAGCUGUGGUUUUGCUUUUGAUUUGUUAUCUAGCUGUAUGUAUUUGAGGUACAAAGAAACUUAUGGUCAAGUUAACUAAUUAGCUUCAUCUAGAAUUCGGCAUCAGCAAAAACUAUAGUCAUAUUUAUUUAUCGUUUUUGAUUCAGUUCUGAAACUUGUCAUUUGCCUCACUGUUUUGCGUAUUGUUCUUUAAUUUGAUGAAACCUGGGUUUAUCAAAUUUUCUCUUUCCUGUAAAUGUUGUGAAUUGUCAGGAAUGACCUUGGGAUGCUAUGGUUGUACUGUUUUGACCUAGGAGGUAACUGAUUAAUGUUGGAACAGGAGUAACAUUUCUGCUUGUAGAGAACAAGGCUGCUUAUCGAACUUCUUUCCAUCCAUAGAAGCUCAUGGAUUGACUUUACUCUUAAAUGACUAAUUGCUUACUGUAUCAGGAGUUGCAGAAAACACUCUUGAAUUUUUCAUCACCCUUUGCGCCUCUGUUUUAGCACUUUUAUAGUCAAUUGAAAAAUGAUGGCAGGACAUUAAAUGCCUGCACCUGUGUUUACCAAUGGUAGUCAUGGGGGAAAAGUGGAAAAGAUUUUGUCAAUGGACAUGUUGUUACAUUUGGAGGGGUGAGAAUAUGCUAAGAAAUUGGUUAUGAGCUGUAGUUAAACGAGUUAGGUGCUCUACAAUGUUGCGCCCUAAGCUAGGCUUUACCCUGAAUUAUGCCUUAACCUCUGUGCUCCCAUUAUAUUUGCAAUCAUGCUUCCUGCAGGGACUGUGUUUUCAAGUUCACUUAAGAGAUGUUUUUGAGAUGCCUAUAUUUAAUUUGCGAUGGUAUCUCUGGACUCUCUCCCUAGAAGUUCAAAAUAGUUUCUAUAAUUGUUUUUCAGGUAAGGAAACUUUCCUAAAAUCUGUGCAAAUUAAUCCCUUGUAAUAUUUGUUUCUGGUUACUAUUGUUGAGAUAGAUGCUAAAUUUGGGUUCUUUGCAACUCUCUGGUUGUUUAUUAGGAUCACUGAUUAACUUACAAGUAAGCUGUCAACAUAGUAUGAAUUUAAAAAAUAGUAGGAGGAAUCGUAAUUUAAGUACCUAGAAGAUUGAUAGGGCCUUGAACUUGCUCCGUAAUGGUAUAGGAGUUAUUGGUAGCAAAAAUCUGUUGGUUUAAAGAAUAAUGCUGCAUGCUACUAUGAUGAUUACUGUUGCUGGUUGACUUCAGCUAGUUGGCAAUCUAUUGUCUAUAUCUGUUAAAGGCAUCAAUGGUGUGUGGAAGAUUUUGAAAACUGAGGCCUAUGUGAUUUAAUAGUAUUAUUGUUAUGGAUAAAUUACAGUCAUAUCUCAUAUCUGCACGGAAAAAGUGCUUUGUCAUGGUAAUUUCAUUAAUUGCUUGUAGUCUUCAUGCUUGAUCAAGUUUUUUUUUUUUUGGUGCUUUACAUACAAAUUACUGAUUCCAUUGGUAUCAUGAUAAGCUACCACUGGAAUGUACCAGUUGUCUUUGAGAUUGUUAAAUUUACUAUAUCAAUUAGAUCUUUAUAGAUGCUUGCGAUCCAGCUGAGACAUUAGAAAUUUGACAUGGAAAGGCAUCUCGGUCUAACAUUUGCAGAUCACCUUUUCUUUCUGACUCUCCUUUUAAUAAUAUUAUUUAUGUUUUAGCACUGUGGCAAUAAUUUAUUGUUAGUUGUUUUUGCCAGUUUGAUAGCUUUUCUCUUCUCAAUUUUUUUUCUCUUUUUUGAGCCUGGUCCAGUCAAGUUUAGAUGUGCUAGGCGUGUGACUGAAAUUUUGACAUCUUCUUGAAGUAAGGAAGUUGAUAUCUCAAAUCAUUGUAGCUUUCACCAUCAAUAUGGUCAAUUCUUGAUUAUAAAAUGUGGACAAAUCUAUGUAACUCCUCGACUUAGUCUGGUGAAUAUCUAUGCAGUACUUUUAGUUGAUUGUCAGCUUAUCUUUGUGUUCGGAUGGGUGAAAUAGGUGGCUGUCCUAGAAGAGCAAAAGAAUGAGGUGUCAGAACAGGUUGAAGAUGAAGUUAAACCUAUGGAGACAGACACAGAUGGUAUGGAGCCAACCUCUAAGAAUGAUGGUUUUGACGAGAAACCUGAUAUCAAUGAUGUUCCCGCAGAAGAAUGUCAGGUAAUUUGAGUUGAACUCAAUUUUGUUUCCUGCAGCUUCAAACUUGCUUGGUAAUUGAUUUCUUUUUUUCAUUUCUUCUUGAAUUUGGAGGAAGACAUCAGUUUACUAACUUGUUAGGUCUUCUUUAAAUCUACUCCUAUUUUAGGCUUCAGACAAUGAUCCCGUAGGACGGCAAGAUCUAAAUGAAAGCACAUUGGACUUAAGCUUGGGCUUGAAGGCUCAUGAUGGAGAAAAUGAUUCUGAUGCCAAAGUAGAGCAGAAUAAAGAUGGAUAGUUGGCAAGAAUGAGAAUGCGUCAGGGAAGGAAUAGAUGGAUGCUAAGCUACAGGGGAAGCAGAAGAGGAUAUUAAAAAUUCCUAGCAGUGCAGUCCCAUUUUUACCUCUUGAAGAUGCUCUCUGUUAACUGAUCGUGUCGGUUAGAGCAAGACUACGACAAAAAUGUAUGCCUGUAAUAUUAGACUUACAUUGAUGCUUCCUCAUUUGAGAACAUGGCAAUUUGUAUCGAUUAUGUGUACCAACAGACAAUCAAUUUUUUCACCAAUCUAAUGCAUUCUACAGCUGCAGUUGGACAUUUUGGACUUUACCAAAUGUAGUCAGGGAGUUUUGAAUUAUAUUUGUCGAGUUCAUAGCAAUUGGAAAAUGCUAUUACUCUUUUUUAAGUUCAUUUGUACACCAUAUUUGGUCUGCUCUAGUAGGUAGCUACUGCCUUGGGGAAUAAAAGGUUAAAAAUCUCAGAGGCUGAAGCGCCCUUGUCAUCAUGGCAUGACAUUCAAAUCAAAACAUUCAUAUUAUUGAUGGUCAAAAGUUAAAAGGAAAAAAGAUUAAAAUCACAAGAUGAUGACUACAGAUGAAUCCAAAGCAGAGGCUAUAAUUAACAUCACGUUCACAUCUAAUGAGAAUAGCAAAUUACAGAACCCAAUUCAAAGCAGAGGCUAUAAUUAACAUCACGUUCACAUCUAAUGAGAAUAGCAAAUUACAGAACCCAAUUCAAGGGGCACAGAAAAAUCUAUUCAGGAGCUUCCAAAGUAGAAACCAAUUGGAUCCAUCAUUCCAAGGAUUAAAGAUGUGAACUUUCGUCAUCAUUCUUCAGCAACAACAGCUUGCUCCGUGUUAGAAUAAUCAUGCCUGAUCAUAAACCGAUGAUUAGUUUAACGAACAUAGGAUGUGCCCUAAUGCCACAUCAAUCCACAGAAAUAAAGAUGUCAAACUAUCACUUAUAACACAAGGGACAUCAUUUUCCUUUUUACUCCCUCCUCAGUUCAGUUUACUUUUACAUUGUUUGAUUGUUUCUUUUUCCUACUCUUCCCACGAGGGGUGGUUAGAGAGGGGUUUAGCACUUCCUAUGUGGCAUGUAAAAUUCAGGUAUCUCCAAUGCAGCGAUGGUAUCGUUUGUAUCAGAUCAAGUAAAUAGCUAGUUGAAAUACACAAAACUGACCUAAUCUUCCGUGAAAGCUGGUAUAGGCCAGUGCAAGCCAUUGCAACAUUUACACUGAAUAGAUUCCAGUUCUUCUGCAAACCACAAUCAAGCAUACAGACAAGAACACCGCAAAUAUUACUACGAUAACCAACUACUCAUGACAUUAAAUGAUGUACGUGAUACAGAUGGCAGGAAAACAUUGCUAACUACAAGUAAUUCAAUGGACAUGCUUAAAUAGACUUAUAAACUCUCUGCUCUCCAAGGAAAUCAAGAACAUUGCUCAUUGUUUAUAAGGAUAUACUAACUAAAAGGUAAAGCAGAACACUCUAUAGGUGUAAUAAUAUCCCAUGUACAAGAGUUCCAAUCUAGUUGGCUUUGAUCCCAAAAGUUGUUUUUGGCUUGGUUGCUGUAACUGACAAACGAAAAUAUUACCACCAGAGGGUAAUGCAAAAAGGGACAGACUGAAACUCAUCAAGAUAAUUUGCAAGUAUAUUCAUUUAAAAAAAAAAGAAAAAGCAAAUUGUUGUAUUGAGCCAAUUAACACAGAAACAGGAACUAAACUGGAACACUAUCAGGCAAGAUGUUAAAAAGAAGAAAAUAGUGCAAGAUUGUGAAAAUUAGUAAGCUUUAAAGUUAUUUGAGGAUGCUACUUUAAGAAUGCAAAAGAUGAUGGUCAAUAGCAAUCAGGACCUAGCAGAAAGAGGAUGCUAUUUUAAGGUUUUCACCAUUGGAAGGGACCAAGGAAACAAAGUUGGUUGAUUAUUUGAAAGUGGAUUUCAUCCAAGUCUCGUGUUUCAAUCUUUGACACCUGAAGUUGAGGAAAAUCCACACACUUCCUUUUAUUGAUUUGAUAAAGGAAAGAAGUUAUUUAUAUAAACUGCAACAGCUGCACAUGUCAUGAAUGAGAAAUUCCUCCAUUAGGAAGACUGAUAAAUUGAACACAAUUUAUUUCAACCAUAAAGCAGGUAAGGGCUGAGGCAAAUUGAAAUAAGUCAAAUUGUACACAGCUCCAAAAUUAAAUUUCUCAGUUAAAAAAAUUGAAAAUCUAGAAGCAAUCAAACUGUAGACAAACAACCGUACUUAAAAAAUUGAAAAUCUAGACAUGUAUUGGAAGUAGAAUUUACCGGGGUAAUGACAGUACUAUAGCGCGACCAGAUAAGUCCAGUAGCUGUUACCGCUGUACGUAUGACAACAAUUGUGAUGCUGGCCAAGAAACUUAUAACAAAUGCCACAUGAAAGAAAAACAGAAAACUGAAAGGAUACUAGGAAAUGAAAAAUUCCAUCACAGAAUUUAGCCACAUUAAAUUGAGGCAAACAAAGAUGACAAUUAAAAAGCUAUUCAAUGGGCCGAUGGGAUUUACAAGGGAUUUUUUGGGUUUUUGUUGGGGGGGGGGGGAUUUCAUAAAUGGAGAUCCACAAGGCACACAGAGUACAUGGAGAUACAAGAAGAUAGAACGUACCAAUCUGCUGAGGGUAUGAGAGCUUUUCAGGUGGUUUAGAGAAGUCAGCAAUGUUGGCAAUACUAAUGCCCCACUUGAAAGUUGGAGCCCAGAAAUGAACUAACACACACAAAAUGAACAAGCACAAAUCAUCAUCUUCUCUAUUUUUUGAUGUUAAAUGAAACUCUACCUGUUGCAAAAGAGACACAUUCCUUUGUUUCUGUAUAUAUUUCACAGAAUUUAUAACAAAAAAAGUGGAGACAAUACAACCUCCUCGCCAAAUUUCCAAAGGAGUGUUUUGAAAAAAGGUAAUAGAAAAAAGAAAAGAAAAUCAAAGCCCCCUAGACAAACAGAAAAGGAAGAUAGUACUGAUACAACUCAGCAUACAUCUAAGACGAGUUUUUACUCAUAGUAUCGUACUGACUAGGAUCAGGUACAUGCCCCUCUUUUCUCAAUUUGCAUUCUACUCUAUUAAGGUGCUGAGUUUCCAAUCUUGAAGUAUCACAGAUUCAUCCAACCACCUUCUAUCAUUCUAGCCUAUAUGCUAUUCCUGUGAAACUCCUAUUUUUCCAGCUUGAUAGAGCAUCCACAUAACAAUAAUACAAUAGAACCCCACUGCAAGGUAAAGUUCUACUACCUCUAGCUGGAUUUUGCUGACAGACGACUCAUUGCAGUUGCUACCAUUUGCCUUUACGAUCAUGCCUUUGCAAUUAAAAACUUUUGGAUAGAUCUCAAAUUAAAUCGACUACCUUAUCUCGCCUGAAUUUGAGAACCUACUCGCUACAUUAUUAGUCAGAAAACUCAAACUUCCUCUGAUACUAGAAUUGGGGCGGCUUGUCGAUUUAUUGCCUCCAUUCGAACAUACAGCACUGAAACGACCUAAUAAUCCACAUAAGAUAGCUAUUAAGAACCCGAACCCCAAUCCAAAACAUCCUAAAAAAUUGAAUCUUUCUCCCACCUGGAGAAAACCCAAAACUAAUUUACACAAAAUAAUCCAUCCCAUCUGCCAAGUAUUGAUGUUAGGGAACUACAAAAGCAUCAAAACGAGAUGCAAAGAAGAUUCAAAAGAAUUGGGAAAUUGACUGCAGAGAAUAUCAAGAAGAUCCAAAUCCAACGCAUGAAAGCCAACAUAGGUAAAUGGCAUAAAGAGAGAAGAGAUGAAAGAGCAGACUUGUUUUAGGGCCAGCGGGGUGAUUCCACAAAGCCUGGAGCUUGGAGGUCGCCAUGGAAUCUUGGGUUUGCGAUAACGAUGAACUACCACCGCUCCGGUCAGAGAAAAUGGGCUCUGUUGUCUUGGUGGACUUAUGUAUUAGUUAUAGUUUAGCAAGCGGGAGGUGGACUUUUGUAUUUGGUUAUAGUGAUACGUGACUGCGGCUGUUUGUAUCAUCACUACGACGAUAAAAAUGAAAAUUCACAAAAAUUCUACCAUUCGUUUGGUAUCAUAAUUAUAACAAUUCAAUAAAUUCUUAUUAGAUCAUUAACGUAAACCUUAAAGAUUGAUACUUUUGAGUAUGGUAUGGUACCAAAAAGUAUUGUAGAACUUCUUGAAAAUUCAUAUACUUUUCUCUUUAUGUGUCCAUGUCUCUCGGUUUUUUUUUUUUUUGUUGAACCAAGUGCCUAAUUCCAUCUCCGUUGUCUAGUUUUUUUGGCAUAUAUCAACGCCAUGAUUUAAAGAAUGAAUUAUGGUUCAACAUACGAACUUAAGGAGUGCUUCAACUUAGAAGUUACUCUACUAUAAAUUUAAACUUUAGUGAAUAGGUGAAAUUCUAUUAAUCCGAUUAACUUAUUAAUAACAAGGUGAUUAUCAGGAUGGAAAUAAUAUAUUCAUCUUCAAAUUCUAGGUGUAACCUCGCAUCUUGUAUGCGUAAAAAAAAUUUAAAAAUAUGUCAAUGCAUUCCUCUAAUUUAGAUAGACCUUUCCCAAACCAUGUCGAUGUACCCCUUUUAAGUUUUCCUUUCUUUAGUUCAGAUUGGCCAUCUCCUUUUUAGCCUCUUGUAUUACCUAAGGUCCUAAAUGGGUCUCCCCUAAUGUUUAAGUAACAUAAUAAUAUAGGUGUUGCAAUUUGUCAAAAUAAAAAUCUAUAUAUUAAUCCAAAAACAAAGUAAAUCCCAAUAAAAAGAAUAGAUGGAGUAGGAGUUAACCCCUGUGUCGGGUCCGGGCCCCGCAGGGGAUUAGUCAGGCCCCGUAAGGAUUGACCCGCACACCUCUGUGUCGACAAAAAAAAAAAAGAAAAAAAAAAAAGAGUAGGAGUUAACCGAUGGUACUCUAUGGGACACCGUCACAAAGUGAAUUGUUAAGUAAUUUUAUUUGGCUUUUCAAGGGAGAACUAGAUUUAAUCACGUAUAUAUGCCCAGGUAUUAUCUUUGGUAGGAAAGAAAGAAAUCUUAUUAUCUAUUAGAAUGCAUGACAUUAUUAUUCCAAUGAUCACGCAUGUUAAUGGGUUAAGGUCUGGAUUGAAUCCCUUUAAUCCAGACCCAUUAAAUUUAGUUAGAUUCAGAGCCAAAUUCUUAUGGGUCUGAAAAAAUAAACCCAUAUCCAAACCAUCCUAGAUCUGGGUAUCCAAGGGCAUUCAUUGUAUUUUUGUAAAAGCACUAAAAUAAAAAUAUAUAGAUUCUGAAAAAAAAUUUAUGAACACCAUCUAAUUUUUAUUUUCAAAUAAUAAAAUUAAUAUUAAAGAAGUUGAAUGCAAUAUUAUGAACUCAAAAAAAUAACUACUAUUGAUUGCUUCUAUUUAUUUUUAAAACUUCAACUAUAUCUACGUUAAAUCUUUUAUUUAUUUGCCUUUACUUUUUCUCCUUUUUUCUUAAAAAGCUUGUACUAAUUAUAAUGACAACUAGAUUUAAAAAAAGAACACAAUCAUGAAGUCUUACUAUAUUCGAUCUAAUAACUAUAGAAUAUUAGAAUAUUUUAUAAAUUUAUUAAUAUAUAUAAUUUAAUUACAUACACAUGGGGGGAGGAUGGGUUGGGUGGUACGGGGGGAGGGAGUGUAAGCAAGAGAUCUCAGGUUCGAAUCCUCCUGCUUACACUAAAAAAAAAAAAAAAAUUUAUAUACACAUGAGUUUAGAUAGAAUUUGGUAUGGAUUUGGAAUUGAAUAUGGAUCAUAGAAAAUCAGGCGCCACCUAGAUCCAUAACACUUUUAUAGGAUCUGGAUCUGAGUCGGGCUUGAGUUUGAGAAAUUAAAUCCAAACCCUACCAAGUAUAUUAGGCCUGGGUUGAAUUUAGAUAAAAUCGAUCCAUUUACAUUUUUUUUUAACCAAUGAUAAUAUUAUCACUUACCGUAUGUCCUUGUCCUUGUAUUGUCAUCCAUGUAUAAGGCUUGCUCAAUUAUAAUCUGAUGAGCUUUAAGAAAUCUAAGUGCUUGGGCUUUACAUUUUGUAAAACGAUGAUGUUUUUCUUGAAUUCUAAAUACAUUCACAUCUACUUCGACUAGUGGAGUGGACUUGAUGCAGACGACGUACACCAUGGAUCCUCAAAACCAAAACACUUCAUUGCAAAGGCUUCAAAAUGUUGAAAAGGUAAUCAAUAAAUUAGAGGAUUUUUUCCUUGGAAACCAGAUCUUUUAACGUUUUUAUGGCUAUUUUGGCUUCACAGAGAAUAGUUAGGGUAUUGGAGUUAGCUAGCAGUGUAAUGGACGAAUGGGCAAGCCCUAGUGGUCCAAGAAAGGAGCUGGUGAACAAUCACUGCAGUGAAUUUAUGCAAUUGAUCAAGGUCACAAUCCUUCUUCCUGAUCAAUUUUAAUACGAUAUGGCAUAUUGCUGUUACAAAUUAGAAUUGUAUGUGUACAUGAUAUGUGAGAAGGGGAUGGGUUGAAAAUAAAUUUUUCCACCAGAACUUCCCCAAAUUUCCAAUCAAGAGUAAACUGAAAACUUUUCGUCUAAUUUUUGUUGUCUGUGGGUGCAUAAAUAUUUUCAUCUCUAUAGUUUGUCCUGUUUGUCAUAAAAACAAAACCAAGGAGUAGUCUGACAAUUUACAAGUACCUUUUAAUGAAUAAAAAUUUCUUGCUUUGUGAAUCUGAUUACAGUAUUAUUAUUGUGUCAGUAUUGUGAAGUAUUAUCCCCAAGUCUUUGUAGAGAUGGUCAAAUGCCGCUUUGAGAAGUUACAGUAGCAAGGGAAUGUGGUAAUUGCAAUUAGUUAUUACCAGCUGUAUGGUUGUUUUCCUGGAGCUUGUAACGUCUGAAAGUGAAUAGGGUGACGCUAUGGCUUUUGUUUUAAAGGUCUUAGCUUGUCUUAAUUCUUAAACACCUACCCCAUCUUAGAACUGGUAUUGGUGAUAGCCUCAAUUUAAGGCCGCAGAAUGCAGUCUAUGCAGCCGUUGACGUACUUGAUCCAAAUUGAAUCAGUUUCUUUUCCUGUCAAAAAAGCUGGAAAAUAAAAGAAGAAAUCUUUGAAUUAGACAUGAACAUAGAAUUGAAAUUUAUUUAACCAUGAGUUCAUAGUUCAUAUGGGGACAAGUCUACUACGUGUAAAUUAUAUCAUGGGUUCAAGGAUAAAACUCUGGAGGUGAUAUAUAUCUUGACGUUUUUGUUAUCUAGAGUUUUAUUUUCCUUUAGUGAUGGAACGAUGGGGUUGAACAAUGGAAUUUUUUGUCUUUGUUAAUGAGCAAGUCAAAGUGCUCGAGAUGAUCUUUUAUAAGGUUUCUGAUUCACUGCGAUGAGUCAAUUGCUCAUGGUUUUGCUUGUCUAGGAGGAUUGUUCUUUUUGGCAUAUUAUUAGCUGCUGUUGUUGUUUUUUCUGGGAUUUUACUUUCUGGCAUAUUUUCUCUUUUGACAUUGAGAUUGUUAACAAUCCCUGCAUGUGCCUGCAACUAGAAGAAACAUGCGAUUUUGUUUUGUUUCUUAACUCAGAAGAAACAAGAGGAUGUAGGGUUUGACAAAUAAUAACUCAGACAUAUUGAAGAAAGAGUAAAGUUCUUCUUACAAGUUCUGUAACAGAGAAGAUUUUAUUUCUGCAUAUUAUUAUUAAGAUGUGUAGAUUCAUUUUUAUCUUGGAUAGUUGGGCAUUUUACCUACUUGUUCCUGCUCAAAAGCAUUUUGUAGGCUUGUUUCGUUAUCAUAGUAACUGCAAUCGUCAGCUAAGAAGAUGGCAUUUUUGCAUCUCAUCUUUCUAAACAGGACAUCCAAGUGACACUGCGAGAAGAAAUCAAAAGUGCCUGCGAGUAUCGUCCUUUUGAGAAGUGUGACUACGUUCCAAGAAUAUCUAAUGAGAUCUGUUGCAAGAAACUGGAUCAUGUCAUUGCACAGUUAGAUGAGAUGAAGCAUACAAUUGAAGGGUAUCAUACCACAGCUUGAAACUCUGAUCUAACAUUCACAAAUAGGCUGCUUUGGAGGAUGCCUAAUAUCUGAGAUCAGGGAUAUAGGAUUUAGUUGGUCUGGCAAGGGCAUUUGAUUAACCAUGAGCGUGCACAGAUGCUUGGUAUGAAGAAAUUUCAGAAUCUGUUGUGCAAAAGCGGUUAGCCUUAGAUUAUUACAUGCUACACAUGGCACUGUGUGCUCUUCUUGUUUAUUCCAUAAAUCCCUAGUGUCUUAAUCUUUUGCACAAUUCAAGAAAUUAAUUCUAGAGAUUGUUUUACCACAAGCAGAGGAUAGAUGAAUUACUGCCAUCUUUUAGAUGGUAUGGUGGCACUGUUGGCGCAGCUGCACUGAAAAGUGCUCUAAAGUCUGAUAAGUACAAUCUGCACUAUUCAGCUUAUACAACCUUAUGGCUCGCGGUCCUUAGGAUGAGAAUUGAUGUGGGUAAAGAUAUAUUUCGGUUGGUGCUAAUUUAGUUACACAUUCAGGAAUUCGUGUAGAAAAAAGAAGAAGUCUCUAAACUGCUGUCUUCUGUACUUAUUAGCAUUUGCUUUUGCCUUCGUUUGAUCUUUUAUGGUUUGCUGCCAACAUGGUUGAUUUUCAUAAUCUCCUUAUCUACAUUUCUCUUUUCACUUUUUCUUUUUUGGGGGUGAGAUCUUAAUAUCUUCUGAAACCUUUUGCUUUCAUACAAUUGUACAAGUAUACACAACUUAUUAAAAUUCAAAUUGCAAAAAUACUGCCAAGCCCUGCAUUACAGGGCUGACAGAAACUGUUCUUAAAGCAAGAGAUAUAAACUCGAUUGCACAAAAAGUGAAAGAAAGAAUCGAUAAACAAGAGGUGAACAAUUAUAAGUUAUCACUUGGCAUUCUUUUAUUGAUUACGAUACGUAAGGUCUGUGAACAAUGAGCAACUGAACCAACUCACUCUUUCACCAUUCUAGGUGACAACCUAAGAAUGCUGUAGAUCUAGUAGUAAUUCAUAUACUAAACAAUUCUUCGGACGAGAAAUUUCCUGAUGAUGUGCUUUGUACGUGAUAUUGCACCACUGCAGCACCUGCAUCGUGUUAUCGCGUUACAGCCUCUGUUGUAAGGAGGAGGAGGAGCGGCAGCAUCAAGAAUUCUUCCAUCUUUUCCUGUUCCUGUGGCUUUGGCUAAGGUUGUAGGCGCAGCAGCAUGAUCAGCAUCACCAACUUGUGCAAGCAGGAAGAGGCCUGAGCUUGUCAACCACAGCAAUAUCCAAAAACAUAAAACUCUCGACAUGCCCAUUCUCAAAACGUGGUAAUAUUAACCCUUGGAAGGAAAAAAAAAAGGGUACAAAAUGGGUACAAGCAAUGCAGUUGGGAACUUGGGAUGAAGAAGAGUUGAUUUAUAGUGGAAGAAGGGAAUCCAGAUUUUUGGGAGUUUUAUUUACUUUCCAAACCUAGAAGAUUCCUCUACCGUUUUGUUUACAAGUUAAGCGUAGUGUAUAUGGAAAUAAUUGAAGGCGACUGAUUUUCUUGGAAACACUUGCGCAUUCUAAAACUAUUUCAUUCUUUUAUUCCUGGAGUUUCACGCAUUGGCAGACCUUGAUUUUCUUUCCAAGUAAAAUACUUGCUGUUUUUUGUUCUCUCCAAAGCUACAUCAAAUUAUUUUAUGCUUUACACAUAAUUUCUUGCUAUCUUCUUUUUUUCUUUCCUUUUUUUUUUCCUUAAUAGAAUGAGAAAGAAAUGUCAUAUAUGAACUCAACUCAGUCAUGAGUCUCAUGACUGGGGACAAAUACGUUUGAGGAGCUUCAAAACAAUUUGGCAUGCGAGAUGAGAUGCUUUGCCACAAGCUCUUCUAGCCCAACUAAUCUCAAUCAUUAUGUACCCGAAAAUUAAAAUGUUUAUUGGCCUAAUCAAACAAUUGUAGUCUCUGUCGAUGAUAAAGAGAAGGAAAAUACUGGCAAGAGGACUUGACUUGAGAUGAAACGCUUGAAUGCAAAAUACUGGGAAGGAAGGCGUGAUUCUUUCCUCAUAAAGUUACCAAUUUAAGAUGAUUAAAAGCGUUUCCGGAGUAGGUGUAAGUCAGGGCGCUUUCAGCUGAUAAAAGCGUGUAAUAAGUCUUACACCCCUCCAAACUGAUGCCACCCACCCAAAGAGCGUGAGUCGCUUCCGCGCUUAAGGCUUUCAAGAACGUUAAAAGCGUAAUCCAAACACCGCACCUUGUUCCGAAAGCGUCAUCAACAUAUUUCUCCGCACCCAAAACCCAUCCAGCGAACGGCACGGGGGGCCUAGGCCUAAAAUGAGCUCCUCCUCAACCGCCAGUUUAGUAGCAAAGCCAAUAGUUUUGUUCACAGUCACCAUCAGCAUCACCAUUUUCUUUGUGCUAUCUUCUCAACCAUACCCGUAUCUGAUCAAACCCGCCCCCGCCCCCGCCCCUAUGGCUCGGAGCUUCAUUCUUUGGCUUCAUGGGUUGGGCGAUUCGGGCCCUGCAAAUGAACCCAUCAAAACCUUCUUCACUUCUCCUCACUUCAAAAAUACCACUUGGGCUUUCCCUUCUGCCCCAUCAAAUCCUGUCACUUGUAAUUGUAAGUUUCUUUUUUAUUUAUUUUUAAUUUUCCACUUCAAUUUAAGUAUCAUUUCUGUUAUGUUUUUGAGCAGCAUUGCUUGAUCAUCAUGUUAUUUUAGAUGGUAAUGCGUUUUGUUUUAUUUGUUCUCUGUUUGUUAAUUUUGAUUCUUCAUUGUUCUUACGAAGCAUAAAUGUGGUUUCGUUCGUAAAUCAAAAGAAAAGAUUUUUUUUUUCCUUUUGGCUUUUUGUGCAGCAAAUAAUCGUGUUGCUUGUCUUGUCCGAAUGCAUUGUUGUAGGCUACAAUUUUGAGACUAAUUCUCUAGUAAAUGGACAAGUUUAAUUUCUUCAAAAGUAUAAAGGAUUAAUAGACUUUUGAAAGCUUUAAGUGCUCAAAUUGCUUUUGCCGAUUAAUCUUUUGCAAAUGACUAAUUAAACACUGUCAGCAGUAACUGAAAAAUAUUUAGAUUUAUUGGCUGGUAUCUUUGGAUUAGGGAUAAGCUUACCAAGAGUUGUAAACAUUUCACUUCUAGCGGUUUACUAUCCAUGCUCAUAUUUUGUUGAUAUCUGAUCGAAAUUGGGUAUUCACACAAUUCUACUAUUCCUAAACUAUGAUUUCUCUUUUACCGUUUCACUGAAUUCUUGACAACCAACAAGUCCAGGAAGGCUUCUAGGAGUCGUACCAAUUUUUAGUACUUGUUGUUCCACUAAGUGAGAUGCUGAGGUAACCACCAGCUCCUUGUGCCCUUGACAUUUAGAUACUGGAAAAGCAAUCAACGCUAAGACCAACAAUUGCGUUUCAUCUGUGGAGACAUUUUGGGGAUUUUUUUUUCAUGUCCAAUGUUCCCUUUGGUACUACUUUCCAUGUGCUUAAGUUGUACUUUGUAUUCAGGUCUUUAGUGAUAGUUAACAAAUUGAGUUGUGCCAUGGGGAAAUGUUCUGUUACCACUCGUGCUGGUCCUCUUUUGUUUCAUUAUGUAUUUUCCCUGCAUCUUAUCUUUUAUUAAUGCCUAUUUACUGUGUCUGUCUGUUGAAUUUUCUUUUGGCAUAGAUGGUGCUGUGAUGCCUUCAUGGUUUGACAUUCAUGAGAUACCUGUGACAGCGGUGAGUUGUGCAUUGCUUUUUGCUUCACCUAUUCCCUUGUCUCAAUUUUUCUUCACCUUGCAGCUUACAGUCUAUGUCAUGAAAGUUAAAUUUUGUGCGCAAUUUUAUACUGAAGUGAUCUGAAUUAGGGGGGUUGCAAUUGGGCCAAGUUGAGCUUGAGUUAUUAGAACUUGACUUGACUCAGUAUUGCCAUUUCUUGAAAUAGGCUUGAGCUCGUCCAGCUCUUUCAUCUGUGCUUGAACUCAUCUUGAGGCAAGCCUUAUUGAAAACAUACUAGUGUUCUGUAAAUGAAGGUGUUCAUCAACAUAGGUUCAACCCACUUAAGGUUCUGGUUGAUUUGCAACAACACCAUUGCUGUUUUGGUCAGUGAUCAUACUAAAGAGAAAAGGAACUCAGGCUCUACAAUCUAAUGAUCUUUCUAUGUUGAGAGAGAGCGAUCUGGCCAGGGCAUCAAAAAGGAGAUCAGUGGUGCAUUACACCUUGUAAACAUGGAGAAUUGCUGGGUGUAACUAGGACUCUAGCAAUUCAUACACCAGGACUCCAGCAAUUCAAACAUCUGCAUGUUUUUGUUUUCCUUGUAACUUUUCAGUGGGCUAUUUACGUAAUACAAUAGAUGCAUAUGGUUGCCUUGAUCCAAUCCUAGGAUGCAUAUAGUGGCUGCAAUCCCAGGUACUCUUGCUAGUCUUUCUGAAUUACGUAGACAGAUAUAAUAUCAUGGUUCAUAUUCAUGUUGUAGUAAUGAGUAGUAUCGAAUGUUAUAGCAGAUGUAAAUUCAAUUAGAUUUGCCGUUACUUGAUCCUAGUGUUCUUGGGCUACCUAAUCAAACUGCUCAAGCUUGAUGAAAGACAAGUUGAGAAGGCUUUGCUUGUGUUGACCACCACGCAAAUUUGCUUUGGUUCAUUUGCAGCUGAUCUGAACUUUGUUGAAAAUAGCUACAGAGUAGUAUAUAAGUUUUCUAAGGACUUGGAAUUUUCCUCUAAAUCAAUUAUUUUGCAGGUGAUUUAUGUAUGUAUAUUGUUUAUCCGCUUUGCUAAUUAGGUUGAUAUGUGCACUUCAAACUUUACUGCUUUUCCAGUUGGAACAAUAUCUCUUUCUAUAUCUUCCUCAUGUCUACUUCUUGAAUAAUGAAUUUCAUUGAGUAAUGGAUGUCAAGAUAAAUUUAAUACAAUACUUGUAGCCUUUUUUCUGGCAAGCUCAAUCACAUGCAUUUCGAAUUUUAAGGUACACUUUUUUUUUUCAGGAUUCUCCUAAAGAUGAAAGUGGUGUGCUCAAAGCCGUGCAGCAUGUUCAUGCAAUGAUAGACAAGGAGAUUGCAUCUGGAAUAAAUCCAGAUAAUGUAUUUAUAUGUGGAUUUAGUCAAGGAGGUCUCUCUCCCUCUCUUCCUCUCUUCCUCUCUCUCUCUGUCUCUCUGUCUGUCUGUCUGUUGCCUUUCUCUCUCUCAGAUUGCAUGCACUGAUCCGAGCAUUCUUGAUGUUAUCCUGCCAAUUGCAUCGGUAGAUGAGAAACUCUGUGAGUUUUGUAGGUGCCUUGACGUUGGCUAGUGUUUUGCUAUACCCGAAAACUUUGGGAGGAGGUGCUGUAUUCAGUGGAUGGGUUCCUUUUAAUUCUUCGAUACUUGAUCAAAUUAAGCCCCCGGCAAAGAAGGUACUCCCAUAGACUUAAUGUGGGUCAUCUAUGGUGUUGCAGAUUGUUUGCAUUGUUUCAGCUUUGUUUUUUGGCAAGCUAGAGCAUAUCUAGCUAGAAGCACACCUGAGAUAUAGUCUUUAAGGCUUGCCUUUCCAAAUGAACAAUGUGCUUAUCUUUAGCUGGGGUUUAGGCUGAUGAUCUGAUAUCAUGACGAUAUAAAAAUUCACUUGUCAGAGGCAUGUCCAAUUCCACUGAAUCAAAGAUGGCUUUCUUUCUGACCUUUUCAUUUAUGAUGUAUUCAAUAAUUGUGUGCCCUUUUUUUGGUCUUUUAAGUUUUGGUGGUGAUGCAUGUUUGGCUGUUAACUGAGAUAGGUGCCUUAAAAAAAAAGCUGAGAUUUUUUUUUUUUGGGGGUAGAAAUGGUAGUUGGCGCUACAUGUUCUUUCUCCUUUUCCUGGAUUACUUGUCUUGCUUUUUGUUUGGAGUCAAAAUAGUGUGUUUAAUGAUUUAGUUUGUUCAGUAAAAGACUGGAAUUGUUGAAGCCAACUUUGACCAAAUUGUUGAAGACCACCUGGAUGGUAGUUUGUAGUUGUGGGAAUAGUGUCUGUUUAUUCAGUGAUUAAGUAUAUAGCAUUACCAGUCAUGGGCAUUGGGCACUGGAUUGAAGAAGGAAAAAGACAGUGAAAAGUAAGCAGGUGGGAGGAAAUUUCGUAAGAAAAACACAUUUGGUAGCUCCAUUUGCAAUAAUUGUUUCAAACCUUUUUGCAGUUGGUUUUGCAAGCAAUUUAAUCUUUGGUCCAUUGGUAGGAGCCCAGUUUUGGCUGACGGCAUUUAUUACUACAUCAUCUAUUCAUUGUCAAUUUUACUUGCUUGAAUUAUGGAUCUGAAAUGGGGAAUUACAUGCAGACACCAAUUUUAUGGUCCCAUGGUAUGGAUGACAGAACAGUACUCUUUGAAGCAGGGCAAGCAGGUCCUCCAUUCGUUGAGCAAGCUGGAGUAAGCUGUGAGUUCAAGGUGCUUGCUUACCACCCUUUCUUGAAACAUCCACAUGAUUUCCCUAUGCGUUGUCCUGAAACGGAAAAGACAAAUGGCAUUACAUUUUUCAGGCUUAUCCUGGUCUUGGUCACUCAAUAAGCGGUGAGGAGCUACGUAGCCUGGAAUUGUGGAUUAAAAGCCGUCUACAGAGCUCUUCUUGAAGGUUUGACAAUUUUGAGUUUACCAUGUGAUUAUCAUCAUAGGCUCUCAAGUACUGCAAUGGUGCUUUAAUAUUAUAACAAUUCUGGUAUCUCAAUCAUCAUACAACUUUUCAAAAGUCGCAUAAGUACUAUGUUUGAGUUAGGUGAUUGUAAUUAUGCCUAAUGGCUACGAGGCAUCAGGUAAUAAAACAUAAAUGAGAAGGACAAAAUAUUUUCAAGAAGGCAUUGACCUGCAAAGGAGAGCAUGUCUUCUCCUGUUACUCAGAUUAUGUAUAAGCAAACAAACUACUAUAAAACAUCUCCCCCGUGUUCUAGUUUUGCUCCAAAAAAUGAAAAAGGUAGUAAUAGUUUUGGCCAUCUGUAAUCUACCAAUGCAAUUGUUCUAUGCUGCUAUAAGCGAAGAGGUAAAUCCAGUUGAUUUGAACUUUAUUCAUUUCUCAUUGUGCGUUCAACAGGAAUAUUCAAAGAGUGGUAAGGUUUGGCUGAAGAUUCUCAUCCUUAUUAUAAGCACUACUACUACUACUACAUGAGAGAAUCAACCAAAGGGGAAACAAAAACAGUUGUUGAUGAUCAGGAUCAGGUAGGUACUUUAGGCCACCCUGUGAAAAGGGUACUCGUGCUCCGUAUUUAUUUGUCUACUGCGGGUGGUUUCAGAUUAGGUAUCUGAGCUUUUGUGGCAAGGACACGAGAGGAUGUUUACAAAUUUGGUUUGGUGGCCUCAGAUUCCGGGGACAGAGAUCCAUGUCGGUCGGGCCCAUCCAUUAGGGAUUUUUACUCAUUGAUCAUAUCAAUCACAAGUUUUUAUAUUUAUUAUUCGUACGACUCUAUUAGCUACAUUGCUAAAUGGUUCUGAUACCAAGGAAAAAUAUUUUUGAGUGACCUUAGCGUUUACGUUGCACUUCGCAUGAUAGUUUUACUAAAAGUGAGAUGAAUCUUUUGAUCAAGUGCAGGAUAGCAAUAAGAUAUAUCUUAUUUGGUGGAAUGUGAGCAGCCAAGCGAAUAGUAGUAGCUGUUUUAUCAUAUUCCAUGGUGGAACGAAUUAUUGUCAUGGAUGGCGUAACAUAUGACACGACUUCUUAUGAUCAAAGCAAAAUCAAAUGCGAAAGAUUAAGGAGUUGAAUUGAAAAGUUUUUUUUAAAAAAAAAAAAAAAAUUUGUGUAAGUAAAAAGUCUUAAAUUCGAAAUUUUCAAUCAUAUUUUUUUCUCUAGGUUCAGGGAGGAAGAUACUAGAUUGUUUAGAAAAAAAAGAAAAAAGAAUUAAUUGAGGGGGAUUCGAAGUAGUCCAUCUACUACCCAAAUGUUAGGUCUGUUCAGAAGCCCAAUUAGUCUCAACGGCCCAAAGUUGCACUGUAGGCCUCUGAACGUUCUCUCAACUUUGUGACCUUACAUUUAUAAAAGAGGCAAAUGACAAUUCUGAAAAGCAGGAUUUUGAUCCAGAUCACCUCUUGAUUCCAUGAUGGGUCCCCCAGUCGAUCACUCACGGUAGCAAAUAACUCCACCUUACCUUCUCAUCAACCAAUCAAAAUGCGCUAGCAGGCUCACUUUUACGGUCCCAUCCAGGAACCAGGAUCACCCCUAUCAAAAGCUUACUGCCCCGCAGCAUAUUAGUAACCCCCCCCCCCCCACAAACAACCCAAUGGAGUGGUAUUACCAAGGCCCAAAAAUACAUACGUCACCAACUUCCAUGCUUCUUUCUUUUCCCCUCUCCCACUCUCCAGAAAAUAAAUGAGACUUGGUCAAACUCUUCAAAUUCAGCAUUUUCAAGAGUCAAGACUCCUCCCGUCCCAAACCCACCCCAUAAGAAAAAGAAACAUUAGCCAUUUAAAAGCCCUCCUCUCCUCUUUAUCCCCACCGCCUCUUAGUAUUUGAUACUAGUAUUUAGUUCUAAAGAAAGAAAGAACAAUCCCACCACCCAUCUUCAUUUCCUUGGUCACCCUCAUAAUCAAGUAGUAUGAAGAAGCUGUAUAGAAGAGGAUCAGUUCAUCCAUCACCGCCUCUGAAACCAGACCAUUUAUCGUUUCUACCCCCGACCAUCUUGACUCUCACGGUGGCUCUAUCCCCUCAAGAUAGAGAGGUCUUGGCCUAUCUCAUUUCUUGCUCUUCCUCCUCCAACUUUUCCGGCAAUAACCGCAGGAGAAAUACCUCCAGUGCUACGGCCAACAGCUCUAAUAACUACAGUAACAACAGCAGCGGUGUUGACCAUCCGCCUUCGUUCGAUUGUUAUUGUUUUAGAUGCUACAUGAGCUACUGGGCGAGGUGGGAUUCGUCGCCGAAUCGCCAGCUUAUACACGAAAUCAUCGAUGCUUAUGAAGACGGGUUAUCCGCCCAAAGCAAGAAAGAGAAGAGUAGGAAGGACAGAAGGAAGGGUGGGAAAGGGUCGGCUGAGUUGAAACGGUCCGAGCCGACCCCUCCCAGUGACAAGGAGCUUACUGAGUCAUCGGAAAAUUCCCUGGAGGAUGAGAUUGUUGAUGCCAAGGGUAGUGGGGAGGCUGAUGAUGGUGGAGAGGAGAGGGAGGGGGUGGAGACGGAGAGGAGCUCUGUGAGGAGAUUUGUGAGUUUUCUUGGCGAAAAGAUUUGGGGUGGUUGGACUUAGAUUUAGUUUCCGAUGAUGGGAUGGGACGAGAACUACGAGAGGAUGUAAAAGGUUGGUUCAACUUCAACUACCCCUCCAAUCAGUCAUCUGUUUACAUAACUUCAACUGUCUGUUUUUCUGAUGGGCUGUUUCUUUACAUAUAUAUACACAUAAAUAUAUAUAUUUUCAGGUUUAGUUUAUCUCAACUUGCUUGUAAAUUUCAUCGCCUUUUAAUCACAUGUAAAAUAUAUAUGCAGAAGAAGAGGGUUUAUGUUUUUGGUUUAUCUUCCUUUCUUGCUUGGCCGGUUAAGGUCAUCAAUGCAAUUUUCUUGGGAGCGACAGUUGCGUUUUACUUCUGCACCUUUUUUAGGCCAUGCUUAUUAUUCUCUUUUGCUUGGUGUUCAGAUUUGGUGCCAUAUUCCAGGAUGAGGGAACGUGUAAUGUAGCAGGAUAAGGAGCAAUUUUUACCUUGUAAAAAUCGAGUAAAUUUUUUUAUUAUUUUAUUUUUUGGAUUGUUAUCCUCGAAAGAAACAUAAACAUAUUUUUUUAAUUAAUUUUUUAUCCCGUAUACAUCAAAUCAACGUUAUUUUACAAAAAUUUCAAAAAACAGCGGUCCAAGCGGAAAAAGUUGUUAACAUGUUGAUGAAAUACUACUUAUUCACAAUUAGCCCUGUUCUUUUUAAUAAGCAGUAGUAUUAGAUUAGGGUUUUAUUAAUUAUUAAUCCCCUAUUAUAUUCUAGGAAUUGCCACCGGUUGAAGCAAUUAACUCCUGUUCCUUCUCCCCUGUUGAAAAUAUUUUUUUGCUGUCUUUUGAAGAGCCUGCAUGCACAGCCCGCGCGUGGUAUUUAGUCAAGAUUCCCCCCCUCCCCUCUCUCUCUCUCUCUCUUAUUAUGGGGGACUGUUAUCAUCUUUCUUUCAGAAAUGGCGUCUCCUCUGAAUCUCUGAAUUGGAAUAUUGGUGCCAGAUGUGCAUCUCUUUUCUUUUAUCGAUUCUUCUGGGAAAUUGUCUUUCUCAGACGGGACAAAUAUAGCCGGGAUGGUUGAAAUCUCAUUUGUUGGUUUCCCGUUUCCUUCAAUAAUAAUCGUCCCAAUGCAUUGGUGGCAUUUGCGAGUCUCCGAGUGGUCAAGGCCCUUUCGAUUCUCAAAUUUUUAGAAUUUCACGAUAAGCCAUCGAAUUUGUCAUCUAAUUGAACUCCAACAUUAAUCAGCUUAUGUUAUAUAUAUAUUUAAAAAAGGGAAAUGUUAUUUGCACCAUUUUUUUUUAUUAUUUGUACUAUCACUAUCAUUUUUAUUAUAUAAUUUUUAUUUAUUAGACUGUAUGAUAUAAUAAAUGGUGGGGAGUGCAAAACACGAACCUUGCAUCUUGCAAAGGCAAAAAACUAAUCAAAUGGCUGCGGUAAUAACCAAGACCAACCCUCUUGGGUGAGUUGAAGUGAAACAUAAAAUAUAGGCGUGGUUUUAAUUUAGGAGCUGUGUAGGAGGGUUUAAAUCUUUGCAUUUGCCUUAAAUUUUAAAGGGAGCGUAGGAGAGCGCAUCUUUUUUUCUUUUUUUUUUUCACUUGUCAUCAUUUACCUCUAUAUCUAUUCCUAGACCUAAUUUAACAUAUACUAAAGGGGUGAUCCAAGUCACGGAGAAUCGAUGGGGAUUAAAUCAUCAUCGGACCAUACGGGUGCACAGCACUCACAUGAAUCUUAAGCAAAGCCACAUUAAAUGUUAAUUUUUUGAUGGGAGACAAGGGUUGAAGUGAACCCUUGAACUCCCACCUCACAGUGGUGGCCAACUCCACUAAAGGGAGUUGGUUUAGGAGGGCGCAUCUCUUUUGGUCUAGAAGUAGUAUUCUUUUCUUCUAGUUUCCUUGGUUCAGUUAGGUUUUCCUUAGGCGUCAACUUUAUUUAUUUAUUUUUUUUGUGAAUAAUAGGAAGUUUGGGAUUUGGUUCGUGUCAUCAUUAUGGUGCUCUAAUGGACCUAAAUUAAUCACAAACAUAAAAAAAAAAAAAAAAACUAAAGAAAAAUCAAUAUAGAGGCAAAGGGGAAUUUUUCUUCCAUUGAUAGAAGAAACUGUGGCGUCACAGCUGACACAAACGAAAACCAGAGGUUCUUGACUAUUACCCUAUGAUUUAUACAUCCGAAGUUAAACUCACGACUCUUAACAUAAUAACUAUUAUAUAAACUAACCAAUGAUAACAUGACACGUACACGGCUGCUUAAUUAAUAAUACUAAAACACAAUGCCUUAGUUCAACUUUUUUUAAUAUUUUUUGAUAUAAUAAAAAGUUUGGAAUUUGGUUCGGAUCAUGGUUACGAAUUAGGCUGUACUUUUAGAAUUAUAAGUUGUUUAUGGUGAUUUUUAUGAAUUAUUCCUUAAAAAAUUUUCACAUCAAUAAUUAAUUUUUAACGCAUAAAUUUUUAUGAGGAAUUGAUCCGUUUUAUACACGUGUCCUCAACUUUACCUUUGGUUUGGGGAGUCGAGGAUCCACAAACUUUUGCUGUAAUUGCCGGAUCAGCUAGACGGGCAUGCCUUAUCAUGCCUCCUCCGUCACUCGCAUCUUUUCCCCGAGCGAACCUCGGGUUUCUAGCGUUUGAUAGUCCUCCUAGAACCAAUUAUUCAUAGAAUAAAGAAGAAAAGAUAGAAAAAGAAAAGAACAGAUAAUUUCUUGUUUUUUUUUUUUUUUGUUUUUGCGUUAGACAGGAUUAUAUGGUGCUAGUUUAUAGCCUGUGUUGUCACGACUGACGAGGUCGGCAAAAGUAAGGCUUCGAUUAAAGCAAAGUGCUAGGUAAUUAAAAUUACAGGCUCGUAACCAUUAGUCGAAUCCAAAACCAGCUUUUUAUUAUUCGCCAAAAGGUCAAAAGGCAUCAUAUUCUUUCCUUAAUUUAUUGAAUUCUUGUCUAUGGUGCAUAGGCUUGUAAAGGAAUCAAAUUGGCUCAAUUUUAUUGAGUUCGAACUCGCCGAGUUUUUAAUGUAAAAUUUGAAUUUGAAUUUGAUCUCGAAUUUUAGAAAGUUUAAAUUCAAGCUUAUUCGAACUUAUAAAGUUAAAAGAUAAUUAUUUUAUGUUUUAAAAACAUGAAUAAAACAUUCAUUUUUCUUAAUAAAUAUUAAAAAUAUAUAUGUAAUUUUACUAUUAAAAUUAUAUAUGUGUGUGUGUGUGUUCAAGUCGACUCGAUUCUAAUUCGAGAGCUCGACUUGUUCGGUUUGAAUUUAAUGUUGACCAAAUUCAAGUCUAGUUUUGAUCUAGUUGACUCGCGAGCACUAGCUAGCGAUUUGGUUCAUUUGCAACCUUGGGAAAUUUUACUCAGCUGGACUGCUAAAAUUUGCGAACUGCCGGCUUAUCUCAAUUUUAGCCUACCAGACACCUGAAUGAUUGUUAGCUCACUGAUUUAGUGUGUUUUUCUUUUUAUUAUUCCUUUUUAAGCAUGUUCCAAGAACAUCACAUUUUAAGUGCCGGACCAAUGUCGUCGAGGACUACAGUUAAAGAUGAGCAAAAUUAUACUUAGAGCAAACAUUCUUUCAAAGGAAUCCUCAAAGACGCCCAAUUUAGGGUUUGGUUGUGAAGAUUCACUACUAGAGCAACAUCAUCAUCCUUCUAUGCUAGGUGGAAUAUCGAAUUAAAGGUUACUAGGUUCCGCCUACACUCCGCCUAAUCGAGGGUUUUCCUUUCAUUUAAAUGGUGGAGCGCGAAGAACCAACCAGACUAAACAAAGAUAGAGGCAUCUAAGAAUGAUAACAGGAGGCCUAACAUAACACAGGGUUAGAAGUGAAUUGAACAAAAUGGUUUUUAAGUUACACAUUGGCGCUAGUUCAGUCAACUUUGUAACUUAUUAAUUGCUGCAUAGAUGGAGAUGUCACAAAUUAAAGUCAAACGCUCUUGCUAUCAGUCCAUAUAGACCAAACAUAUAUGCUAGGGAGUGGGGGAGGUACAUAAUCAGUGCAUAUGGUAGCUUAAUAUUUGAACAAAUUAGCAUAGAGGUAUUAGAAAUCUGUCCUCCUCCCACAUUUAAUUUCAAACACAUUGAUUAAGCAUUUCAAAGUUUGAAGUGUUGAGUUUGACUAGGUUAAAUAUUUACUAUAUGAUAAGAUGAGGGGUGGACUUAUACUGAACCGGUGACCAUGAAGGAAUGGUAGGAACGAGUCAACAUUCAAGUGCAGCUUAUUCAAGACUCCGUUCAACUAACGUUUUGGGCCUUUUUGUUGCCUUCUCAUGAAUUGCGGAUGACGAUGGUGACUCAACAUAUAUAUGAUAAUAUGUUAAUUGGGAGCAUAUUUUGACCUGGUUCUUUCAUUCAAGUGAUUAACGUAUAGAAUCCUCCAGAACCACCGGCCCAAAGGCUAGUGACCACCACCAAUGCAUUAAGGUUUGAUGGGAUGAGAGGGAGGCAAAGUUCCACCAAUUUACCACAAUUAAAUGUGGCCUUACUUAAAAAAUUCAGGCGGGUGCGUAAGCAUCCGUCUGAUCCGAUGGUGGUUCAGUUCCCUCCAAGUUACCUCAGGAUCUCUUCGGGCCCUUUUCCUCCCUAUAGUGUAGGAAGCUAUCGUAUCAACCAAAAAAAAAAAAAAAAGUAUAGAAUCCUCCAGGACUAACGACUUGCUUAACUAUCAUCUCCAAGGAUAUGAAUCUAUCCCUAGCUAUUCAUUGGCGAAAAGGGCUCAUUGUGUCUUCUUCGUUUUCAAUGUUCAACCACCAACCGACCAUUAACUGAUUAACUUCACUCCACGCUAGCACUAGAUUCAUUUAUAAUGUGUCAAAGAUUUGAAUUCAUGGCUCAAAUCUUGUCACAUCCCACAAUUUUUCCUUUAUUUUUUUUUCGGUUUCUAAUGCAAAACAAAAACAAGGCAACUAGAUUUUGAUGGCAUGCGCAUAUGCGUAGAAUAAGUCUUACAAGCAAAUAUGUACAUUCCAUGGAAUGGUUGGUGGUAUAACCUUGCCAGCAGCUUAGCCCAGAUUCCCCAAGUGCACAUGAUGGAAAAGUUAAUGCCCAAGGUAAGUUAGGCCCAAAGUCCCAUCGAAUGUUUUGUGGAAUGCCUGUUUAACAUGUGGUUCUUUACAUGGAUGACAAACCAUCUACUGUAAUUCAAGAAAAAGAAAUGAUCAUCCAAAUUCCAAAUGUAUGGUAACGAAAGUUCUCAGGUUUCAAUCAGUAGGGUUCUUUCCAUAACCAUAAGUUCAAAGGUUAGUUAACUGCAACAUUGACGAGAAUGGAGACCGAGUAGGGUAGAGCAAGCAUUGAUAUGAAUCGUUGCCACCUACUCAUAUCAGGAAGAAAAAGAAAAAAAAAUUACAGAAGCAUAUCCAAUACUCCACUGGACCCAAAUUACGAGGAUCUCUGCAUUUUUUCCCUUUAAUUCCUGUCCCUUAAAAACUCCUAAACAAAUUGCUGCAGAAUAACCUGGUAAAAAUGAUAUCUAAAAUGCCACCUGCAGCCAUCCGGGAGUCUUUAAGUUUCGCCAAUACAGUUACAUCAGAUAAUUUAUGAAUUUAAAUAUAUACAAAUCUAUGAAAAGGUGAUUUAAAUGACUGAAUAAAAAUGGCAGCACAUGGAAAGGAGUUAGCUAGGCAUGCACAGGUAUGGAUGAAUUCAUUGAUACACAUCCUUUCAAGCGAUCAAGAAUUGCAUUUUUGCUCACAAGCCCUGAAUGAAGAGUAAGUGGAAGGCCGUCCUUCAGACACUCAUCAUACUUUUCUAGAGCCGAAACAAUCUCACUGAAAUCUGGCCGCUUAUUGGGAUUUGCCGCCCAGCAGCGCUUUAUAAGGUGUGCUAAUACUGGCUGGCAACUGGCUGGCAUUGGUGGUCUUUCAUUCUGUAACAAAGAACAGAAAACACCAUUAGGCUUUUUUCAUCUCCGACUGAAACUCAUAAGUAGUCGAGGCAAUCUAAAUGCAUAAACUGGAAUACGUGCAAUAUAACUUGUUUUUGUCAAGAAAUCAGUUCUUAUGCAGUAUCCUGGAAAUUAGAUGCGUUAGACAUGGAUGGAGCCGUAACCUCAACUUUAUGAAAAUAUAAAAAUUAUCCAGGCAAUGCAAUUUUAUGUAAUCUCUCGUUUGAUUUACAUCCCUACCAGAUCAUUUGAUUGGCAUGCAGUUGACUUUUGUCUUUACGGAGGAACAUAGAGUCACGGUUUAUACAGAUGCUCCCUACCAUAACAUAGCACCGUAAAGUGACUGAUUAUACACUCAACUAAACUUAUUAGUGUCUCAUGUGAUAUGAAUCACUAGCACGAUCGUUUUAAGGACGCAAACCACUAAUCACUUAGCUAUGCUGCCAAACCACUUAGACUGGCCAAAUUGUUGUAGAUUGAACUUUUGAGAAGUGAUUCGAAAAUGGAGACCGAGGCCCUGGUCUUAAUAAAUAUCUUGAUUUUGCUAGCACAUUUAAGAACAAAGACUGGAGAAAAGAUGGGAGGAUACCAAGGGAUCCUUAUGCUCAUUAACGAGAGGAGGUACAAACAAGACAACAAGGGGUUAAGAUAACAAUAAUAGCUAAAUUAGCUCAACAAAGCAAGAUGGGAUCGAGUCUACUUUUAAUUAAGGAUCUGAUCCGUCUAGGACCACUUAUCUAUUGCCUGGCUAGAUAGAUUCAUUGUUGCCAAUUGCUUCAUUCUCUAAUUUUGAUCCGUCUAGGACCACUUAUCUAUUGCCUGGCUAAAUAGAUCCAUUAUUAUCAAUUGCUUCAAUCUGUAAUCUAAGUCUCACAGAAAGGAAACUAUUCAUUUAUACGGAAUGACAGCAGGCUAUGCAUAACCAUAAGACUAAGAUAGGCAUGAUCACAUGGCAAAAUGUUAUUAGUACGAAGGAGAACAUUAUAUCUGUGAUAAAUCUAACCUUCUCAGCCACAGCAAAUGCAGCUUGGACAGGAGUCAUCCCUUGAAAGGGAAGCAAAGCCGUUGUGAGUUCCCAUAGCUCAAUUCCAAAACUAUACACAUCCACCUUUCGUGUGUAAGGUUUCUCCUUGAUCAUCUCCGGAGCCAUCCACCGAUAAGUUCCCAUGUUCCCUUUGGCUUCGCGACACUGUGUUUCCAGACAUGAUGUUCCAAAAUCUGCUACCUUGACACGCAUCUCAUCGUUUAAGAGCAAAUUGCUGGAUUUAAGGUCCCUAUGGAUCACUCCUUGUGAGUGAAGGUACUCCAUUCCUCGUGAUAUGUCAAGAGCUAAUCUAAGAAUAGUUUCUGUUGAAAGUGAAUAUGGCUCUUUCUUGUUGAGAUACAUCCUAAGGGUUCCCUGAGACAUGUAUUCUGUAAUGAUGCAAUACACGGGAGGCUUCUUACAAGCUGCAAUAAACUGUAACAAGGAACAGUGUGUGAUAGUAAGUACUGUUUUAUAUGCUGCGGUUGAAAUACUUAACUACCUUAGGUUUCUGAAAAGUUUCCUUAGCUGAUACAAUCAGCGGUAGCAUCAUUCAAUAUUUAAAAUUACUGUUCUGAAUGAUGGGUAUUAGUCUAAUCUAUCAACUAAAGCAUUGAAGGAUGUUUCUGUUUCUGAGCCUGAGACUGUAUUUCCACCACAUACUUGUAAAAAGCAUUUCUCAUGAUUUAAAUGUCCAAAUUACAUGACAGAGCGGAAGGAGUGAUUAUCAACUAUAUCUAGGCAUACGAAAUAAGGAAAAAGUAAAGGUGUUCAUUUACUCAGACAUUUCAUCAUUAAGGCAGACACUCAAUGCUAUGGCAAUUCCUGCAAUAAUUGUGAAUUUGAUGAGGUUCAGAUAUAACAAAUGAAAAUGCACGCCAUGAAUGCAUUGAACAAGCAUUCAAUCCCAUCAAAUGUACAAAGAUUACUCUUUCAAAAACUAAGAGCUUCCAUUGCUCUAAGUGCGAAAUGAGGAGACUAGUGAAAUUAACAGGCAGCAGUUAUGUAUUGUGUUUCUGUCAGAUGGCAAAUGGUAUUCUCAAAGAAAUGAAAUACCAAUACUUUUCUAAUCGGUACAUAUUUUAGUUUGUGAUGAUGAAUUGAACAUGCAUUCGAAUAUAUGAGUUAUCAAUCGAUUCUUAAGGACAUAACUCGUGACCUUAACAAGGCCAACCAUAUAAAUGAAGAAUCUCAUCAUGAUAGCAUAUCAAUUUAUGAAUGAUAUAGACAUCGACAGAAUUAUAGAAAAUACGAUUGGAUUAUUGGUACCACAUAAUUUGUAUUUUUAUUGAUCUAAACAUUAAUUGAUGCUUUCAAAUAUAUACCUCUUUAAUCACAUACUUGCAUAAAAGCAACACUGAAACUGACUCAAAAGAUUCAACACAACGAACCUGCACUAUGUUGGGAUGAUAGAGACGCGAAAGCAGGGCAACUUCAGACUUGAAUUGCUGUUCAAGCUUAGCUCUAGUCUCUUCAUUGUGGCUUGGAAUUCUGACCAUCUUCACAGCCACUGCUCUCUGCUUAUAAAUCCCUCUAUAGAUCCUACUAUGUGCCCCAGAAGCAAAUUUAUUACCUAUAAACAACUGAGAUAGAUCAGCUGUCCAUUCCUCUUGAUCCUCCUUCGAUGCUUCCCAAGUCUCCACAUUCUCAGACUCCAAUAUCAUUGACCAUGACUCUAAACUGUCAAAUCUCUUCCUUUCCAUGUUGUCAGUAUCAGUAUUUAACUGAGUUCUGGAAGAGGAGGAGGGAAUUGAUAAUGGCUUGCUCUUAGACUUUCUCAGCCUAAAUGGUUUAAAACAUGAUGAAGCCAUCAGGAAUUCCAAACCUUUGCCAAGCUCGGUUUUUUUUUCUUUUUUUUCCUUUUGGAGGAGGGGGGUGCGGGGGCUUAAUCAGAAAGCCUUUGUAGUCAGAAACAACACAUAGUCUUCAAUAAUUAGUGUUUUCCUUCUAAAAGUAUGAAUUGAUUUCAAGAAAUGCAUGAACUGAUUCAGAAACAUGGGUGGUCCUGAAUAUCUACAAGAAAAGGGAUGAUGGCUUUCAUGUAUAAUAUGUUAAAGACGUAUCAAAGAUAAAGAUAAUCCAUCGCAAGCUUUAAACACAGAAGAUUAAGAGAGAAAGAAAGCAGAAGCGAGCACACUUCUCCACUAGAAUGAAUUUGCAUGAUUACUAAAGAAAGAAGUUCAUCAAGUGGUUUGUAAAGUCAGAAAAAAGAUGUGUGUAUUUAGGCAAGGAUUGUCGGAACUUUCAUGGUGAUAAAAAGGUGGAAUGAAGUGAAGGAUAUGUCCAUCAAAAUUCAGAAAUGAAAAUUUUUUUUUCCAAAGGAAGAGAGAUUGUGAAGUAACAAUGGCCAUUUGUUAUAUGAUGAGGUAAAGGCAGUUUGGCACAGAGGCAUGAACUCAAAGGAGAAAUUUUCAGGAAAGUCCCGUGAGUUCUUGGUUCCCAUAAUAAAGUUUAUAGAAAGAGGGGAAGAGACUUCACUUUUUCCCAAAGGAAUCCAAUCCGACACCUUCUUCUUCUCUUCUUCUUUUGUGCCAUUCAAUGCGAACUUGCUGUCACAGGUCUUAACGUUUCCUUCAUGUUUUUUAUUCGAGUAUUUUCCAUAUCCUACUAAUUUUUUCCUUUAUUUUUUUUAACAGAUUUUAAAUGAUUCGGAUAAUAUACCGCGGGAUAAACUCCUCCUCAAAUCUAUCAAGACAAAAAGAGCAAAUAUUUUGCUCAUAAGUUCCUCUGUUGUGCACUGCAAGCUGAAAGAACUCUUGUUCUACGUCAAAACUACAAGUUCUAACACUCGAAAAAGAUACCAAAACCUAUGCAUCCAAGAAUUUCCAUCAAUUAUGUACUAAAAAACCUGCCGUAUCAUUUGCGCACUAGCGUUCGACUGUUGGGGAACGAGUUGCCUCAAUUUUGGUUGUUGUCCAAAUGGUGAAUAUGUAGGCUUUUUCCAAAUAAAAAUGAGAAGAAAUAUCAGAGUGAAAUAAAAUCAGAAGAAGGUAUUUCUAAAUUCGUCCACCAUUUUUCUUGUGCGGACCAGGAAACAUAUUCAUAAAUUUUGCAAGUUGGUACACUUGAAUGUAGUUAUCAUGAUUUUUUACCCCAAGAAAAUAUUUGUUAGUUCUUGUACCCUUCCAAAGUGAUAGUAAGAUGUGCCAAAAAUAGCUAUGACUGUUUAAAUUGAACAAAAAUUACGUAUUGUGGAUUCUCGAUAUUACAGCUAUAAUUGGUUAGACGAAAAACUUUAUCACCGUCAAUUGAUUCCUUUUUGUAAUACCAGUUCUGUCUUAGCUUAUAAUUUAUGGUUAGUUUCUGUCAAAAUCUUGCUUAAUAUUGUUACACCAUGAACAUGGAAUAUUUGAUCUUAUUAACAAGUGAGCGGUACACGAUUAUAGAGCGAUUUAGUUAUUAAAAACUAAAUAUUAAUUGUGUGACAAUGCCAAAUAUAUCUCCAUCAUAGGACGCAGCUUUAUCCAACUUGGAUUGCAACUAAACAAAAACUAAUUCGUGCAUCUCAUCACCAUUUAUGCACCAAGACAAAAUUAAUAUUCUUUUUGUACAGCAUCCAAAAUGUGAACAAUAAAGGCCUAGAGGUGCAAAUGAGUCGAGUUUAAUUGAAUAGUUCGCGAAUUUGCUCGGUUAAAACUCGAGUUCGAACUUGCGUUGAUCGAGUUCGAGUAGCUCGAGCUACUUGACGAAUUGAGCUCAUGUUUAAUAUUUGAAACUCGAAAUCAAGUUUAAUAGAGUUUAAUUGAGUUUCACACACACACAUUUUUUUAAUUUAUUAGUAUGAAAUAUCUAUUUUGUCCCUUAUUUAAAAUUAUAUAAAAUAUAAAUUUAUAUUUCUUAAAUUCGAUAAGGUUCAAUUAAACUUGAUUGAACACAAAUUAAGCUUAACUAGAUUUGAUGAACAAAAGCUCGAGUUCGAAUUUGAGUAAUGCAAAAUAAAAUCGAUUUCGAAUUCUAUAUCGAAUCCAAGUUUUUUUUACUUGAACUCUACUCGACUUGAGUCUCGAUUGCACCCGUAAAAAGGCCUAACAGUGCGUAGUCCUUCAUUGAGGAUUGUUUUGCAAGGUGACAAGGUUGGCAACUUUUGGAAAUCUAUUUAGGCAUGAGAAUAGAAUAAAAUAGAAUGAAUCAUAUUUUGCAGUGAACUAACCAAUAGGCAAGGAGACGUUAAGGCACUUGUUUACCUAAAGCUGCAAAGAUCUUGCUUAAUUUGCAUUCAUCUAUAGGAAUUUUGAAAGUGGAAACCAAAACAAAACAAAGGGAAAAUGGCAGUUGCCAAUUUGUGGUAUCGUUGUGUGAAAGAGGAUACUAUAGAAAUUGGACUACCUAUGAUGAUCCAAGUAUAAGAGCCCACAAAGGGUUUGGGCUUUUAGGCCCUUAAGUGGGUGAAAAUUUUGGUCUCGUUUGGGGUUCUCACCUCUCGAGUCUCAGUUCCCAAACACUUUACCUUGGCCGGCUCCCAAAAAUAAUACGAAAAAUAAACAGACAAAAAAAGAAAAAGAAAAGAAAUUGUUUUUCCCACAUGUUGUAUUUACCAUCUUUGGAUCAUGAGUCUUUAUCUUUGGUAUUAUAAAAUUUUUUGUGAUUAUUUGUUUUUCAUCUUUUACUCUCAAAUAAGUAAGAAAUUUAUACAUAUAACUACCAAAACAAACCAAUAAUACUUAUUCAAUUUUAACUUCCAAUAACUCUUCCUCUUUUUUCAUCUUUUCUUUUGGCAAAUCAAACUUCUAAUAACUUCUACCUUUGUUGUUAAAAAAAAAAAAAAAACUCUUACCAUUCUAUUGUUAAAAAAAAAAAAAAAAAACUUUGUUUUAAUUUGCACAUCCAUGAGAUGUGCUUAUCCCAUUAGUUUACUUUAUCGCACUAGAUCGUAUAAUUGUCUAAAUUUGAAGAAAAUGGAAAAUUUUACUUAAUAAAAAAAGAUUAUAUGUUUUAUCUCACUCUUUAACAUCCUACAUUCUUACUUUACAAUCUACUUUUCUAUUGAUAAAAAAAAAAAAGACUACACAUAUCAUGGAUAAUAAGAUAAACAUUGCAAACUGUCAAUUAUGUUCGUUGCAUGUAGAAAUUAUUCAGAAUUUUUUAUGUGUAGCUAGAAAAUUGCGAUACAAAAAAUUCAUUUCAAGACUAUUCAAGAAAAGAAAAGGUUUUUAUCCCCAAAAAAAAAAAAAGAAGGAAAAGACUAAACUGCCGAGGAGUAGACGGUAAUUUGACAAACUCCCAGCGACCUUCUGAGCUCCCGCCCGUAAAUUCAUCUUCCUUCCUUGUAAAAUCGCUGCUGCAAAUUGCAAAAUCGAUUCGUUUAUCAGUAACAAAUUUUACUUGCUUUCCUCUCCACGAUCCUAAUACUCUUCCGGAAGGUUCGGUUUUCUUCUUCUCCAUUUUCUGUACAGAUUUAAGCUGCUACUACUACUUGGUAGAGUACUUAUUUUGCUGAUGAUGACUUUCUAUCUCCCUAUUUGAAUCACGAUCGAACUUUUUAAAAUAUCUGCUGUAGCUCUCUAUCUUUGAAGGUACGUUUAUUCUCCAUUUUCGAAUUUCGGCAGCGUAAUCGUUGUUUCUGUGUGUAUGAGCAGAUAGCGCUAAUUUGCUUCGAUUAGUCGGACCUCAUUUCCUUAAUUAAUUAGACUUCUCUUCGUUAAUUAUAAACUGAUACCGAUCUGCCUCCCUUUUUCCCCCCAAUAAAUUUAGUUUUUCUUCGUUUUGGUAAAUUUUAUACAUCUUCCCUUGUCAUUAUUUUUUAGAAUCGCUAAAAUAUUUGUCUGCAGAUGGGAACCCAUUAAUUGGCUGAAAUUAAUAGCUUGUUGCUAACAUAUUAGCAUCUGGUGAGCUGCAAAAUUACAAUUGAGAACUUAAAAAGUAUUUGAGGUUGUUGGCUGCAAUAUAAUGAUUUCGGUAUCAACGUACAGAAGAAUGUUAAUUUGGGACAGUUUCUUCUUGUCAAUUUCCUCUUUUUAACACGUGAAAGUUUGGGGUAUCAAAAUUGAAUGACGUUUUCUGAGCUGUGGAACUGACGAAUCUACAGAGGAUGAAAGCAUGGGGUUUUCAUCUAGAAGUGAAGAAUGUUACAAUUAGGUUUUUAGACAGCAGAAUCUAGAUUCAUCAUGAGGCUUGAUUUUUGAUCUGAUUGAUGCACGUGGGGAUGCUGAUUAUGUCCCACUUUUGCUUCAAUCAUUUGCGAAGGUAUUAAACAUGUACUCCGAGGUUCCAAAAUUUUAUUACGUACCAGUUCAGAACAUGUCCUUGAUGCUUCUUGUCACUGAACAGGAACAGGUACAGAGCUUUUGUGGUUAAAUUUAGUUAUUGAACUUUUACUUCUGCACACGAGUUCAUUCUUUGCGUAACUUUUAGCUGGAAAGUGAAGAAAGUUUAACCUAUAUACUGCAGCCAGGUUGCAUAAACAGGCAUCGUUAGUAUCAGUUUCAUUUAGUUUUUGAUCAUUAGGAUGCUGGUCUCACCAUUCUAUGUAACGCUGGAUCUGCAUUUCCGGGGUUUGGUUAUAGAGAGAUAUGAGAUUCUGCGUACUGAUAGCGUCGAACUUUGUGCGGGUUACCAUGGAAAAAGGCAAUAGACCGGUUCAAAUGUAGAGAGAAGUACUUUAAGGCAGUAUUAGUAUCCGCAUCAAGUCAGAAAGACGAAACGAUUGAGAACAUCUUUUCAUCGGCCUUGGCACCGUUGAAAUCAACUUGAUAGCGUUGACAGCUUGCUGCCUUUGCUCCGGUUUCACUUUUUACUCUGAAUUCCAGUAAAUAAAGAUCAUGGAUUUUGCGUCUAAGAGGUCCAAUAGGUUAGUGGCAUUCUUCACUUUCGGGGCUCUGUGCAUUUGCUUGCAACGAGUGAUCCAGAUAAUGGUAUUGAAAGACUGGAAGACAGCAUUAUUGUUGCAUUUGUCUCCUUACCGAUAGCAUUAUUGAAUUGACUGCGUGCUAAUUCUUGACCAUGUACGAGAGGAGAUUGCUGUCCUCUGCUUGGGCUCACUGAGCAGUAAGUUGUGAUUGCGGCGGAGCGGUGCAAGCCCUCACAACUGUUGGUCAUCAGACGUUUAGGAGAGGGUUUGAUAUGGCCAGCCAUCCAGGGUAUGGAGGAGUCUCCGGUUUUUCGACAAUUGGAAAAGAAAAUAUAGAUGGUUUGACGCCGGGAUAUGUGACAUAGUAAACUAUAGCACAAAGAAGCAGUAUAAUAUUUGGAUGACGGCCGGGAAAUAUUAUCAUUAAUCCUCAAAUGAUUGGACAAAGCUUCCUGUCUAACCCUGAUCUGAUUUGAGAAUAAAUACAAGUUGAUGCUGUCUCUUAAUGCAUGACUACAAAGAAUUGUUUAACUAAUCACAUGAUCACAUUCGACUUUUAAAACAUGUGUUGUUAGCAGAUUAAUUUGCGUACUUUGUUGUAAAUGACGCAAUGAAGUGCACUGGAAUGCGGAAAGAACCGGUGUAUUAUACGUUAUAAAUAUACGACGGCAUGCGCCAAAUGAGAGCCUUUGCGAGUCUAAGCUUAAGAAAGCAAAAGGUCACCCACCGCUUCCUUGUUUAUUACUAGAUCUGAUAGUGACAUCAUGAAAAAAAGAGUUUAGUUUCCAAAAACAUUAAUUGCUCUUAAUGGAAAUGGAAUCGGUGCUGGAUUUGUUAAACAUCUGCCAGGCUCCCUCAAAAGACACAAGUACCAUACCUGGUUGACGUUUUACCACCGCAUUGGAUCAGUCGUAUUUGGAUCAGUCGUAUUUGAAUAACUAUAAUUGAUCCUAGUCACUACUUCAGAAGUAUUAUUGAUGGAGACACCAACCAACCCCUUCAAAUUCCUCGAAACGUGGUACAAAUAUUGUCAUGGAAAGUAUCAUAAUUUUUAUAUUUUGGGAUGUUUCAAAACAUUCGUCAUAUUAGAAAAGUCAAAGUAUCUUUUAGUCUCUCUUUUUAAUAUAAUCCUUUUUUUCUAAUAAUAUACAUGUUAUCAUUCAAAUUUAAGAUUUAAAUUUGUAGGGGGUAAAAUUGAAAAGAUAAGUACGAUCAUCACAAUCAAAUCACUAUUUUUAAAAAAUUGAAUUCCCGGAAUAUGACUGAAUAAUUGAAACGGAGGGAAAGUACAUUUUUCUUUCGAAAGAUAUGUAUGUACUCAGCUUAAUUGACCAACUUCUGAAUCAUAUAUAUAUAUAUAUAAUAAAGUCGUAUUCUCAUUCUUAUCCCUUCAUGUUUUCUCUUUCCUAUGUGGUUUAACAAGACGGCAAAUAGUUUCCUACGUGGAUUGUUCCUUUUUUAUUUAGAUAUAUAUCAAUUCUUAUUUCCUAUAAAAAUUCUUAAUAGUAUAUGAUUCUUAUUUCCUACUCAAAAAAGGAACUGGAAAGUAAUGCGAUAUAAAUAAAAGAGACAUGAAUAUCUCUAUUAGAUAUAUCUCCAAAUUCAUGCCAAUAAUUUGUGUACUGCAUAGGGAACCGAAGUAAAUAAGAAUUGUUAUCACUACAAGAAGUUGAAAAGUAACUAAUUUCAAAAGGAACCAUUAAUAACAGAAGUCAAUAUCUAAUGUUGGAAAUAGGAUUCUUAAUAAAUUUUAUUAUUAAGUGCAUUAUCAAGACAUAGUGCAUAGCACGAAAUUUAUGGAAAAGAAAAAGUUAAUUGAAUCCAAUUAACUAUAUAUAUUUGAGCACGGGCUUGUAAAUUCCUAUAAACCCGUUCGUUGUUAAUCAAAACAUGCAGGUUAUACUCAUUGUUAGGUUAUAGGAUUCACAAUAAAUCUCUGCUCAGAUGGUGGGGAGUAUUUAGUGUGUGGACCCACACCAUAGAAGUCCACGGACUUAAAGAACUCGAUAUGGUUGAGGUGUUCUUUCAAGAUAAGUAAAAUCUGUCUUGAGAACGCACUUUUAUUUUCUAUAAAAAUUCUUAAUAUUAUAGGAUUCUUAUUUCCUACCCGAAGUUAUGUACUUUAAACAAUUUAAAUCAAGAUAAACCUACGUUUAAUGUUCUUAUCAAUAUCUCUUUAUAUUCUUAUCAAUUCUUAUUUUUUAUGCCUACACUACAUAUAACCUCUAAUAUAUUGAUUUCAAGUAUCAAAUUAAUGGUUAGGUAUUUUCAGUACAAGCGAUUGGCACAUUAAAGUAUCGAUUUUGGAUUUCCACUCAUCUUGAUUAUCAGGUACAUCUUCUUUUAAUAAAUAUUUUUUUUAAAAGGCAUGUUGAUCUUCAAUUAUAAAAGUUUAAUAACAUAUCUUGAAUUUUGUUUUUAUUUUUAUUUUCUGUUUAUUUUUUUAUGAACACAUAGGAUUAGUAAUAUAUCUUGAAUUAGUAAUAAAUUUCUCUUAUAUUUUACAUAUUAUAUAUCACAUAAUAUUUUUGCCUUUAAUUUUGAUAAAUCAUUAUCAGAUUUGUGGAACCGACAACCAAUACUAACCUGAAGCAUUUUUUUCCCAGAUCUCAAUUAGUAUAACAUAUGAUUCUAAUCAACAACAUUUCAAUACACUUCAUAUGAAUAAUUCAUCAGAGGGUUCAACAAAAAUCACAGAGGAAGGGAAUUUUCAUAAAAAGAUUUACAUGAGAAGGUAGAUUUAAUAUACUAUUUUACUUUCUUAAAUUAUAAUAUUUACGUAUUGUUAUACACAAUCUUGAAUGCGAUAAAUCAUUUAAUUUUUUAUACUUAGUUAUCCUGCUUUACUAUCAUGCAGUGAUAAUGGAAAAUCAAUAAAUGCUGAUUUGUACGGACAAAUCGAGGAGAAUGUUCAAACAGAAAAAAAAACAAAAACAAGUUUCUGAAGAGUAGAAUAUUAUUUGAUACUAUUUACUGCACUUUUUAUUUAUUUUCAAGUUUUUGAAUGUUGUGGUAUUGUCGAAUGUUAUUUUUUCCAUUUUUGAAUUAUUAUUUACAGAAUUAGAUGUUCAAAUUUAUAUUAUAAGAAUACUUUAUAUUACAAUGCGCAUAUAGUAAUAUACUUAAGAAAAGUUAUAAUAAAAUAUACAUUAAGUUUGUAUUUCAUAUCGAAUUUUUUAUAAAAUUGACUAAAUAAUUUAUUAUUUUUUGAAGAUUCCUGUUCAACGAACGGUACAAAACUAGUUUUGUUAGAAAGCAAGGUGUCUGUCUAUCCAUCAUAUCAUCCAUCAUCGAAGCAUUGGACUAGGUAAAGUACUAAUGGUACUUAGCAUUCUAAGCACGCGAAAUAAAUAGGUCUUGAUGUAGUAGCUAAGAUUGAGAUAUCACUACUACUGCUUAUUAAACAAGUUGCAAAUUUCAAUCCAACUUUCAAAAGCCAAGUAAAUCCUACUAGUAAAAUGUAAACAAUCCUGUGCAUGGACGGGGGGUAGCUCAGUUUAAUUGAGAAAUGCCUAGGAUGAAAGGGAUGGUCGGUAGCUCCGAACUACCAUUCCAUCAUAGCCAUUGAUUCCUUUCACAAUAUCUCAUUUUCCACAGGAUUCCAUGGGUUAAAAAAAAAGACCCCACUCUACAAUUUGGGACCCAAGCACCACAUGGAUCCCUUCAAAAUCUGAAGGUUUAAAAUCCCUGACCCUACUCCUUAACCCAAAUUGUCACCGACACAAACAACCAAAACCCAGAAAUUACAGCCAACAACCCAAAAUAAAACAAAACACAACUGGUUUCAUACCUUGCUUGCACUGCCAGACCGUAGCGUAUACACUCAUUGCCUACUUCUUGAUUUGAUAUUGAUGACCUUUCUAUUGUAUUGUAUACAUGACAAUAAAGACCGGAGAGCAGACACUGGACGUGGACAAACAUGUCCUUAUCACAAAUCACAGCCCCUGUUUUGUCUUUUCACAUGAACACCCUCCCUCCUGACGUCACCCUCCUCUCCCAUGCUCUCUCAAGUCUCACCUAAACACACUCUCACUCACACUCUCACUCUCACUAAACUCUUUUCUUCGCAACUGUGCUUGAAAACUCUCCCAAACCAAAACAAAAAAAUAAACCAAAAACUAAAACACAUAAAUUAAAGCAGAAAAAAAAAGGAAAGAAAGAACCUAGCAAAGGUGUUCAGAGUUCAGAGAAGCUUGAAUUUAUAUAAUCAAAAGAAAAAAAAAAAAAAGAGAAGGAAAGAAAAGAUGAGUGGUCGGACCGGGUCGCACCAGCUGAGCAAUGGGUUGUACGUAUCCGGUAGGCCCGAACAGCUGAAAGAGCGGCAGCCGACAAUGGCUUCCCGCGCCGCCCCCUACACGGGGGGCGACGUUAAGAAAUCCGGCGAGCUGGGGAAAAUGUACGGCAUCGACUUCACCGCCGCAGCCGGGGACCACCACCCCCAUCCCCAUCCCUCCGGGGCUCCACCUCCUCUGAAGCCCUCGUCGAGGCACUCCUCGUCCUCGCAGCACAACAGUGGAUCUCUCAGAUCCGGCCCGAACUCAGGCCCAUUGGGCCAGAAAUCCGGUAACUCGGGCCCCAUGCCGCCCAAGAGGUACACCUCUUCCUCCUCCUCCUUUUCCGGGCCCAUGACCCCGAUUCAGCCCACAGGGCUGAUUACCUCUGGGCCAUUGGCCACCAGUGCCGCCGGUGCCCGAAGUGGUCGGUCUGGCCAGCUCGAGCCGCAUGCUGGACCGACCACUAAACCUGCUUACGGUUCCGCCGUCACUAGCUUGAGCCAGGACGGCAGGUACGGGUUCAGGGUUUCGCGGGCGGCAAUGUGGGUGUUUUUGAUAGUGGUGGUGAUGGGUUUGGUGGUGGGGGCGUUUUUAAUGGUGGCGGUGAAGAAGUCGGUUAUCUUGUUGGCCGUGGCGGGGGUUUUGGCUCCGGUUUUGGUCAUCCUUUUGUGGAAUUUUGCCUACAAGAAGAGAGGGUUAUUAGGAUAUUUAAGGAGAUACCCGGACGCUGAGCUGAGAGGUGCCGUGGAUGGGCAGUACGUCAAGGUCACGGGGGUAAUUUCUCAAUUUUUGAAUUUUUUUUAAUUGCAAUGUCUUAUUAUUUUAUUGAUGGUUAAUCGAGUUUGUUUGAGUUUUUAUUCUAUUAUUUACUUGGGGAUUCAUUUUUGUUUAGUGUGGGUUUAUUAGUGGUGGUUCUUUUAUUGUAUAGAGGGGGUAAUUGUGGUUCCUGCAUGUUCCCCCAACCCCCCCCCUCCUUUUAUUGUGUUGCUAAUUUGUUGUCAAUUGACAAAUUUAACCCUGAAGGUCUUCUUUUGUAGAUAUCUCAUGCAGAAUGUGAUGUGACUGUGUUUGCAGGCAUUUGAAUUUUGCCAAUUUUUGUUGGAGGGUUUUGAACGUUCAAGGCAUAGCAAAAAAAUAAUACUAGGUUUGGAACUAGUUAUGAUUUUUUUCGAAUAUCAAAUGAGUAAGAAUUUACUGAUUGGCUUCUGAUUGUGUGGAUUGUUGCAUUACCAUUGGAAAGCAGAAUAAUUGCAUUAAUUGCUAAUUGUUUCGGCGGCUUGUCGGUUUAGGGCCGUUGGAUGUUCUGUUUGUCGAAGUUAGACGUAAUUCAGACAUAUCUUUAGUGAUUGGGAAGAAAGAAAAUGAUUGGCUUAAAACUAGGAGUUUUAAGUAUAUGUUCUGUAUUCUUCUCCUAGAAAGUGUUCUAGUUACUUUUUCUGAGAAAAAAUGUCCGUGAACUGAUUGGCCUUCUCAUGAUUGGUCGAGAUAUUUUACAUUCAUUUACAAAGUGCUUGUCAAUAAAUUCCGACAAUCUAAUGUUCUCUCUUCGUGGAUUUUUCUGUAGUCGAGUACCGUCAUUACAUAUGGCAUGGUGAGGCUAAAGGACUUUUAUUCUGCUGUCGCUACGCGCCAUUUGUAAAGAAAAAAAUUCCGGUUAUUACAAUAUGUCCGAACUCAGGAAUCAGGGCUUAUUUCAUUAAUUGCUGUAAUUUUAGUUUAUAUAAACUAUUGGUUGACUUCCGGUUUUCAUACUUUUUAGAAGCAUAAAAGUUUUUCGACGCUCAUUUUCUUCAGAUAUUUCCUUUUCCUCUCAUCCGAGAAAGCUUAGAAAUCUGGCUAGUAUUAUCUGCCACAAAUUAUUGUUGCUAUUUCUAAUAUAUAUCUCCAAAAUUGAUUCACCCCAGCAUCUCCUUCUCCCCUCCCCCACCCCACAAUUUGAGGUUUGUUACCUUAAAUCUACUUUUUUUCUUAAGCAUUUCCUUUAGAAUAUGAAUCCUUCCGGAGAUGAGGAUGCAGUGAGAUUACUUUUUGAAAAGUAAUCUCAUUGGUAAGUAACAUUGGUGAUACGUCCCUCCUAGUCUCUAAGUUUUAUUCUUCAUGUGUGUGGAAGUCUGUCCUCCUAUUGUGAAUGCUUCAUCUGUUGUCAUUUCUGAUUUGAGGCAUUCAAAUGGUAAGGACAUAGUUGAGUGUCACUGGAGAUGUGUUCUACAAAAUGUGGCUAUCAUUGUGCUGUGCUUACAGUUGAAUUCUAUAUAGCAAGUAUGCAGAUGUCAAUUUGUAACAACAUUCCAUGGUUUUUCCUAAUCCUUUCAGAAGCUAAGAGCUGCCUGAUGACUUCUGUAUGUAGGUCGUCACCUGUGGAAGUAUUCCUCUUGAAUCUUCUUUUCAGAGGGUUCCAAGAUGUGUUUAUACAUCAACAGUAUUGCAUGAAUACAGGGGAUGGGGUGGAAAAUCUGCAAAUGCUAAACACCGUUUUUUCUCAUGGGGAUGUAGACAUUCAGAGGUCAGUUCAUUAUUUUGGUUCUAAUAUCAGGAAAUUAAUUGUUUGAAUGUCUUAGUAUUGUUAUCCAACAUAAGUUGAUACCAAGAGUCAAGCAUGAAAUCAGUUGGCGGCAUCUUCUGUAUUUAGCUUCAGAAUAGUUGUUAUUGGGGUGAUAGCAUGUGAAGGUUACAAUUAUUGCUGCUUUACGGCUACAAUAACCUUGUACCUUACAUCUCUUUUAACAGAAAUAUGUGGCUGACUUUUACAUUUCGGACUUCCAAUCUGGUUUAAGAGCUCUAGUGAAAGCUGGGUAUGGAGCUAAGGUAACUCCAUUGGUCAAACCAACAACAGUUGUUGAUAUAACAAAAGGGAACAAGGAAUUAUCUCCAAAUUUUCUGCGCUGGCUUGCUGAUCGAAGCCUCUCAAGUGAUGACCGGAUUAUGCGUCUUAGAGAAGGGUAAGUUUGUAAAUUGAUUGGAUUCUUUCAUUCAUGUUAUUGCUUUGAUUCAUGCAAUCUACUCUCGUUCUGUAUCCUAAUUGCUAAUACUACUUUUCGCAACUUGCACACAUCAUGAACAGUCUCACGAUCUACUUCUAUUAUUGUUGUUUCAGCAUUUUUGUCGUGUUUCUGGGAACACAUGCAAGGCUUUAGAAUUCUAAAUGAGUUUCUCACUUGUAUAUGACUGAAAAACUUGGGAAAGGGAGCUCCAGCUCUCUUGAUUUUCCAUGUUAAUCUAAUUCAUUAAUCUUUUUUGCUGUUGUUAUUUCUGUAAUUCUGUUACAGCUAGUUGAUGAGGAAAAAAAUGAAUUUGACCAACGACUAAAUUAUUAUCCUUCCAUGCACAAUUCCAUGGAUGAAAGUUGGUGUCUAAAUUUGUAUUGCUAGUACCAUAUCUCUAAGCAGAAGUGUGGAAUAUAUAAAAUGCUACAUUGCAUCUUUCUAAAGGUUAUACACACACACACACGCAUAUAUUGUAGUUUGUAUAUGGAAAUUGCUUAAUUGGAGGAUUUAUUAUACAUGGGGAAAAAUUCUUGCCAAAUGCAUGGAAAUAUUGUAAAGGGUUCACAAAUAACCUUUAUAUGGAAGUUAAUGUCUUAAUCACUUCAAAAUAAUGAGAAGAUUGUACUUUGAACUGCUUUCCUUUUACAUUUUGUUUCUGAAAAGAUACUGCAAGUAACUAGUUUUAGGAAGUUCAAGUGGGCAAUAUAAAAUGCUUCACGACUAUGUACUUUUUAUAGAACUUUGUUUGGAUUAUUGUGUAUGAUUUGUCUGAAUUUGGGAGGAAAGGAAACUUAUAUGUAGUUAAUGUAUCUUGCAUGCCCGUGUCUUCGGUUAUCAGCGUACUUGUGUUACCUAUCUACAUGCAUGCAUAAAUUCUACAUAUGUUCUGUAGAGUAGAGAGGAGAAAAACUAUUUGAAUAGGAUUUGGAAAGGAAUGAUUUUGAUGUGCCAGAAAUAGAUGUAAGAAUGUCUUGAGCGAUUUUCUAAGAAGCAACCUGGUUUGAAGCUUUAUUGCUACUUUGCUUGUAUGUUGGUGAAAUAGAAGUUUCAACAUAUCACCUACAGUGAAAGGAAACCUCUUUGUGUUAGCUUAUCGCAACAAUAUCGCAACAAGGAGAAUAUCUAGAGGGGCCAUAUAGAUUCCACCUGAAUAGUGAGAUGGAUGAGCUUUUGAAGUGUGUUUUAGUAGAUUGCAUGUUUGGAUGCGAUUUGUAUUCUAUUUACCGCAAUCGCUUUUGACACCAAGUUGAUCUGAAUUUGUUCCUUGUAUGGCAGUUAUAUCAAAGAAGGAAGCACUGUAAGUGUCAUGGGAACUGUCAGUCGGCAUGAAAAUGUGCUUAUGAUUGUGCCACCCACAGAGCCCAUAUCAACCGGUUGUCAGUGGACCCGCUGCCUUCUACCGACCUAUGUUGAAGGUCUUGUAUUGACAUGUGAUGAAAGUCAGACUGCUGAUGUUAUCCCUGUAUAGAUAUACCUAAGCUCAUCAGUUGAACUUGUGUUUACUGCUUACUACAAGUAUACAGUGGAAGGGUGAACCUGAUCAUAUGUGAAACCCGCCAAACCACAUUGUCUAUACUUGCCGAGGAUUUCAAGUAUGCCAUAUAAGUUGGCCUGUAAAAAGACAAUUAGGAAGACCAAAGAUCUCACAAUAUGUGAGUGUAAAUUAUGAAAAAUCAUGUUGCUGAUUAUGUGUUGGCUUUUUAUGGAUACCUGGAAGUGACCAAAAAGCAGUUCCUGCAGCUAGGCAGUGCUUGUUGUGCUGAUGUUUAUUUCAGCAUUUUGACCUUUAACUGCGUUAUGUACAUAAGUUGUCGUGGUGCCUUUAGCCUUGAUGGUUUUCUUCAUAUGUAUAUUCUGGUUUGGCAUUCUUUAGAUUGAUUCCAUUCUAGGUCAUAUGUGAAACUAAGCAUAUGUGGUUAAAGUAACUUGAAUACAUUACUGAGCUGAUGUGUCUCGUGACAUUUGACCUACAGAGCUGUUUGUGGAUUGUAUUAUGUCGGAUUAGUCUUUGCAGAGUAAUACAUAGCUCGGCAGAGGGAUAUCAGACCCAGUCGGGGUAGUCCUUUUUGCUUCGUGAUCGAGGGAUCGAUGUUCUUUUUGGCGCUUCUCAGGCUGCCGUGCAUGCAAGGCCAGCCCCAGUAGUCGCCAACUAUUUUGGCUCGCACUUGGAUUUUUUUUCAAAAAAAUUUGUAGCUAUUUCUUUAAUGUUUCAGUUCAAUGUUAAUGGAAAGAGCUAAGUGCAUUUAUAUUUUUAUUGGAUAAUAUCUAGUGAAGGCAUUUAUCAGAACCAGAGCUCUUUCUUUUCCUUGGUUUCUGAGAUAUGAUAUAUCUCGUAAAGUCAUAACAGCUAUACCUAACUGUUUUCCAAUUCCAACAUGUACGUCCAGAAGCAAAUAUUCAGCAAGACUAAACAUAUGGAUUCACCUGCCAUGUACGUCGUGCAUUUCAAGAGUUUUUUUGUUUUUCCUUUUCUUUACUACGGUGUAUAUCAAGAGUUGAUCAUACGAAGAACGUUGGCCUGAUGUUGUUUAUUUAUGCAACUGGAAACUGGCACCGACAUCGAUCUAUUCCCAAGGUCUGAACUGAGUUUUCAGAGGGGAAUUUGAAACAAGCUAAAUCUCUCUGUUAUGUCAAGGAUGAUAGCAUGAGCAGCAAUGUAGCAAGAUGCAUAAUGGCAUUUCUUGGACAAUCUACCUACACAACGUUGAAACCGGAAAUUUGGAGCCUUCUGCUCUCAGGGCCUUGAUCAAUUCUUUUAUCUAUCAAUUGGCCCCAGCCACAUUUGCAUCAGGAGUUUUACGUACCAAAUGAAUCCACCCAAAGACAAAAUAUAUCAACCAAAUUAGCAGGAGGAGAAAACCAUCCAAAAGCUCAUCCAGAAAUGAGGAAAGUUCAUGGCAAAUGAUUUUGUGCAACCAAAAGAUUUAUCUGAUCAUCUUUCAGGCAUGCCAGUCAAUUAUUAAGCACUUCUUACAAUGAUGGGUCCUCAAGACAGAAGGUCGGAUAAGAGAAGAAAAUGGCAACAUAAUAAAUAAAGAAAAGUGAAACGCAAGCUUAUAUAAAAGCUAACGUAUAACUUAAAGUCUGGAUGGGAUUCCUCCUGCAACUACCAAAGUUUCUCCAGUUAUAUACGAAGCAUCAUCAGAAGCCAAAAAGGCAGUGGCUGCAGCCAUAUCAUCUGUGGUUCCAAGUCUGUUAAGCAAUGUUUUAUCCUCUAUGGCCUUCCUCUGCAAAACAAGCCAGUAUCACAUGGUUCCAUGAGAGGGUGGUAGGCACUAAACCUUCCAAACCAACAAAAAACAUAUAGCUACAUAUAUUGAAAUCUUACAACAUCAGCAUUAGUAGUAAUAAAUGCAGCAAAAUGUGUGGGCACAAAGCCAGGUGCAACACAGUUUACACGAGUAUUUGGAGCCAUCUCAGCAGCAAGGGCCUGCAACGCACAAUGAGAAAUCUGUGUAUGAUCCCCAAGGUUUAACAAAAUCCAUAACAAGGGUAUCAAAACAAUAUUUUUAAGACCUUGGUAAGCCCAAGAAGGGCUGUCUUGGUCACCCCAUACAUAGCCAUGGAAGCCUGUGGUUGAUAGCCAGCAAUAGAGGAAAUAAGAACUACAGAAGAACCCUUCUUAAGGUAAGGAGCUGCUUCCUGCCACAGAAAAAUGCCACAACCACAAUUUAAUUUUAAAACAGUCAACAGCUUCAAUAAAUCAUGGUGAUAGAGACCGAAAAAAAAUAUUGACCAACGUGAUAAAACAACAAAAAAUCUCUGCUGGUUCAAACAAUAAGGUGUAGUAGAAUCAUCAUCUAAACAUGGCCUAUUGUGCCAAACAUAGAAUAACUACAAUGAAAUGCUCAUAAAUAUGGACUUACUUGUAAAAGAAGUAUAGAGGAUUUCACAUUUAUCUCCCAUAACUUGUCAAGGACUGGUUCUUUAGUUUCCAAAAUGGAAUCAACAGAUGGAUUGGCAGCGGCAUUUGAUACAACAACAUCUAUUUUUCCAUAUUUCUGCAAGAGCACCAGUAAUAUCCUCAACACUAAUUAAAAUUAAAUGAAGUAUACAAGCAUUUGAUUUAAGUAAUAGAAGUAAAACUAAACACGUAAUCUUCAAGAAAAAUUUGAAAUAAAACAUGUGGAGAAAACUUGAUCCCACAAUCCCCACUAUUUCUUUUACUAUAGACGAGGAAUAUUACUAAAGCAAAAGAACAAAAUAUUCUAACCGUGCGCUCUACAGAAUGCACGAAGCCAGGUGGUCAACAUCAUAGGAUUGCGAAGAUGUAUAAUAGCAUGACUCAUAGCAAGAGAAUAUCUUAAGUUGUCCUCAUAAAGAAAAAGUACAAUACUAAUAACAUGCAAGUUAAAUCAGAUCCGAGGUAAGCUUCAAGCCUUCCUUCAACCAAACAAAGAUAAUUCAUCAACACAUCACCAGCAAAAUUGACUUGCUGAAGCCCCCUUUUCCUAUAGAAAACCAUGUUCAGAAGGCACUUGGAACCGAGACUAAGACCUUUUUCGGGUGCAUUCUAAAGAACCGCAAUGCAUAGGUAAACUUUUUAGGUUUGCCAUCCUUCCUUUUUUGAAGCUUAAAGGCUGUUAUUCCACCUCCGAUGGUCACAGUAGGAGAGGCUGCUCCUACUUUUCAUGGAUACAUACAUAGCCAUAGAUACCCACACAUUCGGCAAAAAAGAGAAUACCAUGUGCUUGAUGAAACCAAUCAACAAUUAAAGCUGGAAAAGUUACCAUCUUUCAGAUAAACGAGGAAUAAACCAUCGCCUCUCAAUUAAGGGACAGCGAUUUUAUGAAUUAGGCACAUGGAAGCAAAAGAAAUCAGCUACAGGCAACAAAGAAAAAAUAAAUGGGCAUUUCCAUUAUACCAAUCAACCACAAGAAAAUCAUUUCUCAGGUUAUACUUCACCUGAAUGGUCUUGUCAAUCAGAUUCUUCCUCUGCUGUAGAUUUGACACAUGACAUACUAAUCCAUAAACCUCAAUUCCUCUUGCCUUAAGUUUUUCCACUGCCUCGUCAACAUUUAUCUGCAAAUAUAUACCAACGAAAUCAUCCCACCACCCAGAUUCCAUAAGUAAGACAUAAAGUUGCAAAAGAUCAAAAAUUUAUCCUAGAAACCAAAGGAAAAGAAAAACCCACCUGGUGAACCCAACCAAAAUAUUAGUUCAAGAAAAUUCCAACCAGCAAAAUUCCCCAAUCCCAGAUGAGAAUUUCAUUCAAAAAAAAAAAACACAAAGAUCAGAGGUAAACAACGCUAAAGUAGAGGGGCCCAGAAACUAAGAGCAACCUGUUUGCGAGAAGAAAUGACAACAGAGGCGCCUUCUAACCCAAGCCGCUCGGCGAUACCAAGGCCAAUGCCCUGAGUUGAAGCUGUGACAAUUGCAACUUUCCCUUGAAGCCUCUUACCUAUUGUUUCCAUGGCUUUCUAAUUUGGGGAAUUGGGGUUUUCAAUUUCAGACACAAAGUCUAUUUAAUUCAAAAGGUAGAAGUGCUGCAUCAGGCGUCGUCUGAGGAGAAAAUGGGCUGUAUUUGUACAUUUACCUUUGGAACUUUCAUUCUCUUUUAUUUUCCUUUAAAAAAAAAUUUGCCCGAAAAUCUUCUUUCGAAUUUGGAUUCACACUCGACGAAAAGAUAAAUUUUACCAUUUUGGCAGUUUUGGGGCCCACAAGAUGCCAUUUCGUUGAAUUCUUUGUUAAUUUCUAGGACGAUGCUUUAUGGAAUAUAUGAUGAAUAUGCCUAGAUGAGGUGGAAAAUUGUUCAUUAAUAGACAAUACAAAUUGUUUGUUUCAGUUCAUCUAAAUUUAAUUUAUUUGUGUUCAGUUAAUCUGAAUCCGAAGUCUAAAACUAGAAUCCAUCAUUGACUGCAAGAAUUACUCACUCUCAAUUGUUGUCGUUUGUGAUUCUUCUCCUUCACAAUUUUUUUUUCUUUGUAAUUUUUUACCAAAUUCUUUUGAUAAUCUUGUUGCUGACUGGACCUAGAUAAUAAUCAAGAAUUUUUAAUCAUGCACCAAACAGGACAAGCGUAUAUUUAUUUUGUGGCAGAUAUGAAUUUCAGGCUACUAAUGCGAAACGACCAAUGUCCUAAUAAUUGUUGGCUUAACUGUUUAUAUACUUUUAAUGCAAAUUUGAGAAGAUCUUAGACGUUUACAAAGAGAGUGACGUUAGGAGAGUUAUCAUGGACAUGCAUUAAAGUUUAUAAUUCAGUUCAGAAAAUGAAGCAUCUACGAAAUAAAUUAAACACACAUUCGAAAGCCAUCCAUAAUGGACUUUUCAACCCUAGAUUUGUUCGUCCCUUGUUUCGUUCCAUUUGACUGUUUGGUGCAUUCACAUUACGCCUUUCCUGGGCAAACCUCCUUCCAAUUGGGCUGACUGCAGAUCUUAUGGAAUUGCUAAGGAAGAAUGAAGAGGCAAAAUGUGGACAGAAUGAGAUGCCUGGCCUUCCCAUUAACAAAGCCAGUACUUGUUUAUUGGUAUUUCAAACUGGCAUUUCAAUUUUAACUUCUUACCAAACAUGCACUUAUAACAUGACGCUAGAAUCUAAGAUAGAAAUAGUAUAAUAUAACUGAUUCGAUUUUGCAGAUAUGUGUUAUGACACUAAGCAGCGGCAAGUUUUACAAUUCAAGACAUCUUGAAGUAAAAUUUAAUCGCCCACAACUUUACUCGUAAGGAUUCCUAAAGUUUCUCAGGAGCUCUGGAAUGUCAUAACCCAACAUAUCGUCCACAGCCUGAAUCAACUUAGGCUUCAUCUUCUCAAAAUCAUCAAUUUUGUACCCACUUUUUAGGACCUCCCUAAAGUGCUCCACACUCGGAAAAUCUCCUGCUGGUAGAUGAAACUCUUUUUGGACCUGUUUUAAUAAGAUCAAAGAUUAAUUAAAAAGAAAAAGAUCUGCCAACACUCGUACAAUUGGACAACGGGAAUGCAAGAGAGAUGUUAACCUUUGCGAAUACAUCCUCCAGAUUAUCAAUCAGUCGCUGCUGAGUUUUGGCUUUGCCCAUCAAUGAAGGCAUCUCCUUUUUGAGAUGGCUCAUUAUGUAAGCAUGAAUUUUAGCAGCACGUGCACGUUUAACCAACUCAUUGAUCUAACAUAUAGAAUUUGGGUCAAAGACUAAUUAAUUCCAUUAAAAACCAAUUCUAAAAGUCCUAGAGUUACAUAUUUAUUUGCUGAGACAUAUCAAACCAUACAAAAAAAGUAAGUAUACCCGUCGGUCACAAGCUUUUUUAGGAAUGUCCAUCAAGUCCACCAGAAGGUCAUCUUGCUCUUUCUCAAAAAGAUCAUUUCCAAUUGGACCUACUGCUUCUUCAUUAACUGGCUUGUCAUUGAACGAGCUGCAUGGCAAAAAAAAAAAAAAACAAGUCACAUGUCCAGUUUUUUUAACCAAGACCAACAAUUGAAGCACCUUCUCCAAUAUCAGGCCACCACAUUGAAAAACAAAAAGACCAACACAUGCAUGGUAUUGAAUCAACGUAUUUGCCGUAUGCUUGAGUCUGUAUUUUCCUGCAAUUACUUAAUGUUCAAGUUUCCUUUAAAUUUUUCAACAACAUUUUCAACAUCUAAUUAUCGCUAAGGGGAGGGAACUUGGGGAGGGGCUAAGAAAAGGGGAUUAGAGAUUCUGUAUUCUACUUUGUUUCGGUUCUGUUAAUUCGAUUUGAAUUAUUGAAAAUCUUCUGCGCAAGUGAAUGAUGAAGGUAUAACUUACAAGUAUCUGGGUAAAAUUUGCGUUACUUAUUUGGAAACUACGGAAAACACGACAUUGAAAAUUGAAUGAAACAGAUGAAACGAAAGUAAACCUACCCAAUAUAGACACGCACCACCUCUGGGGUAUUCAAAAUUUUCCCAAGGGACCACAUUAAUGCACCAUAUACUCUCAUCAACUGUAACAGAUAACGUAGUUAGAAGCUACCUAGGAUUAGAUCCUUCAUAGAAUUGAAAAAAAUAAAUGCUGGAAAUAGUUCCUAAAAUAUGAUAAGGAGCUUACUUGCUGCGUGUCUACUUGGUCAGCUUUGUUUAAAACAACACGUAUCUUGUCAUCAUUACCACGUAAAGACGAGAUGACGCGUUUAAAUUCAUCACUGAUAUCUAAUUUGUGUGGGUCAAAAAGCAGGAGUAUCAUAUCACAUUUUGCAGCAAACCAUGAGAUAACGCCGGUAAAAUCAUAACUACGUUGUGUCCGCUGCUUCUCCCCAGACAAAACCCCAGGAGUGUCCACAAAAGUUAUAUGUUCAAGCAGCUAAAAUCGAAUGAAAAUUGUGUUAGAUAAUUGCAUCUUAUAAAUUCAAAAGGCAAUGCGUAUGGCUGCAGCAGGUAAUAACUCACAGGAUGUGGCAUUUGGGAACACUCAAACUUGGACAAAAAGGCUCCUCCAAAAGUUGUCAAGCCAGUAAAUGGCAUCUCUGCAUGAACAACAAUGGUGUUGCCAGGAAUGCUUCUCUCAUCUGGUCCAGACUGAGUAGAAGAAAAAGCAAGUGGUGAACAAUAGAGGAGGAUAACAAUAAUUGCAAUAGACCCAAUAUUAUAAAUGUGAAGUGAACAAGUAUUUGCCGUCAUAAACAGCUGCACUGGUGGCCCAAUGAACAACAAUCUAGGCAAAUGAAAGUUCUUUGACCCCCAAAAAAAAAGGAGUGAAAAUCAGUAUAUCCUUCAAUACCUAGAAAUCUACAUUGACUAUCUUAUCUGAUUAGAACAUACUUCCAGAUUAAUCUCAACUUCCUAAGAAAUAUUAUACUUAAAUGACAAAACUCUGAUAAUACAUUAGUGGAUUUUGAGUACCAUAACAACAAUAAAACGAUCAGUAGUUGGUUCUGGUCCAAUAUGAGCUCCUGCGAAUAUAAAAAUAAACCUUUAGUCGAGGAAAGUCGCCACCAAAUAAAAGUAUUUGAAGACUCAAUUAACAGAUAUAUCGAACUGGCCAACCUGGAUAACUACACCCAAGCAAGUGUUUGAUAAAUGUGGUUUUUCCAGUUGAAUAUUGGCCCAAAAGCAUGACCAUUGGUUUGGCGUCAAAAUCACUAUUUGUCUGAAAGUUGAAGGAAAUAAAUCAAAUGAAUACAGAUAUCUACAACUUCUAGGAUGAUUAUAAGAAUCAAUGAGAUGUGAAUAACAGCUAAUAAAGCAAGAUUUCUAAGGACACAAGCAUAGUUGUUUUGUUAAUUCACUCACCAGUAAUGGCGACCCAAAAUCAUUGAAAUGGUAGGUAACUUCCAAAGGCCUUAGCUUUUCAUUGUACAAUCUUUUCAAGCCAUCAGUGACAGAAGUAACAGGGGCAACGGAACUCAGGGACUGUAAGAAUAUGGAACCUUACAUCAGUCAAGGACUUCAAACCCCCCCCCCCCCCACAAAAAAAACACGAAAAAAAAACACUUGUUUGUCAAUUUAUGCAUUGAAAAAAAAGGUACUCUUCCAAGUCAAGAAGUUGUAGUAGAUUUUUCUGUUGGAGAACUUAAUUUAAGUCAUUGGACGACUUUGUGAAAUGGAAAGACACAAACAUCACCACAUUCAUGCAAAUAGAGACAGUAAGAAAGCAAAGAGUGAAAAAAGUCAGAAUAAUCUCCUGAGAGGUAGAUCUACAAGGUAAUGUUUGGAUGAAUCAAAGCUAUACCUUCUUUGCAGAUUUUCUUUUAGAUAAUUUGACUAGGGGAUUGGACUGCAGUUCAGCAGUUCCUGCAUUUUUUUUAACAAUAGACUUAUAUGGCAUGAGAUUAUAUUUUAGUCAAAAAGAGAAAGAGUGACAUUAAACAAUAAGAAAAAAUAUCAGACCAUUUCCUUCAAGCUUUUCCUUGACUGGUGAUACGUUGGUCUUCUGGAAGGAAGGGGAAGAGAGUGAGAAACCAGAAGCUUGAAGCUUUUAUCAUAAAUUUAUUACAACAAAAUGAAAUGGUGUACUUACGGCCUGUAAUGCAGCCAAACCUUCCAUCACAGGGAGAUUCAGACUUUCCAAGACAGCUAAAAAGAGAAGACACAAAAGCUUCAAUACAGCAAAAAGAUGUCUAAAAGAUCACAGCAUCAACUUCAGAAGAAAACUCUGAGCAAUAGUUAUAUAUCUAAAAUCUUGCCUAGGAGGAAGAGAUUCCUGGAAUCUAAGUGUUCAAUUCAGAAGCAAAGAUAUUCUAUGACAUCCUAUACCGUCCAACACUGAUAUUCACUAAAAUGCAUUUUCAGCUAUAUAGCAUUAUCUGGCUGCUUAUGUAUACUUGGAGACAAGCCAUACAGGAAUGAUGAACACUAAAGCAAUUUCUUAGGACAGUAGUGAGAUUUCUUUUAAAGAAUAUGACAAAUUAGUCAUAAAAAUGUCUCGUGCAAAAUAGUCUGACAACUUUUAGUAGAUUGGCUCAAAAACCUAACUUCCCAACCACAAUUUUCACAGAUAUCUUGAAAUUAUUUAGGUGCAAUUGUAUAUACUGUUCUUUUGAGAUUCUUCCCCUGCAAUAGUAAACUGCAACAAGUUAGCCUCACCUUUUAGCUCAUAACCAAAAUUCUCAACAUACCAACAGAGAGAGUUUCUUUCCAUCGAAAAUGAAAAAAGUGAAGGCAAUUUGUAGAAUCUACAUGCCCAUGUGCAAUAAACAAAUAAUCAGCAUGAAGGUUUUAAGUUAGAUGACGAAAAUUUAAGUCUAUAGAAAAUGCCUUAGAUUAAAUUUCUGUAAAUUCCAAUGGCAUAAAUGAGGUAGAGCUUGGAAAAUUUAGGUAAUAAAAUCCACUUGCCUGCGUUUUUAAGGAGAGCUGAGUUUAUUUCAUGACCUUCUUGUGCAAGAGCUAUCAACUAUCAAUCAGGGGAAAAAAGAAAUAAGAAAGACAAAAAAUCAGAACUCAAUUCUGGACAAUGAAUUGACUUUAAAUACAAAAGGGGUUCUAUAGUGAAACCUGCAUUGCAGUGAUAAACUCCGUCAGACCAAGGAAACCUUGCUUUUUGGAAUCGGCUAAUGCCCAGACCUUCAAAAAAAAAAUCAUAAAUACACUAACAAACAUGUUUCAAGAGCAAUUACCAACUGUGGUAGCAAUCACAAUGGUCAAACAAACUAGAGAACGGAUAAUCCAUAAGUCCAGAAAUUGAAAAGAAAUAUGGCUCGCUAUGGCUCUAAAACCCUGGUAAGGACGAUGAUCAAUGCAAUAAAGGUAAACAGCAAAAGAGAGAUAACAAAAAUUUCGAAGGUAAAAUCCUUCAAUGUCUUAGCAAUUCAAUUUCAUCUCCUAACGGCAAUUGGAGUUUUCCGCUGGUAGAUGAAUAUAUCAAAACUGCCUUUGACAUCGACAAUUUCCACUUUGGAGUGCAUAAAAUUAAAACACAGAUACAGGUACAUCAGAUUUCAUAAAUCUAGUACUUCGACUCACUUACUAAACCAAUAACCAAAACAAUUAAAAAAAAAAACUCCAAAUCGACUGUACUAAUAAUAUUUCUUAAGCAGUAGACCAAUCGCACAUUUAACAUUUUUCCUCCAAGAGAGAGAGAGAGAGAGAGAAGGUCCUUUCCAUAAUCGAUAUUAAAUUAUUCAUCCACAUCACCUACCUACUAUGUGCGUACAAUAAUUCCCCAUCCAGACACAUAACAGAAUAUACCUGCUUGAGUUCAGGCCUAGACAAAUUGGACAUGGCGAAAAUUUUCGUAGCAUCAUUUCCAGUCAAGCGGCCAUCGCCGUCUGCACAAAAGGAAAAGUAGAAUGCGAAGUAAAUAAAUCUAUAAGAAAGAAAGAAAAGAAACGAAAAGAAAGAAAGAAAGAAAGAACAUAGUUAACGAUUAAUUGGAAGGGAAGAACAGCAACUAAAUUAAUUUGAACGAAAAAGUUAUGACCAAAAAAAGAAGGAAAAACCUGAGUCGGCGAAGUUGAACCAAUACUGAUAGAUCUUCUGGUGAUCUUUCGAGCAAGAAUAAGUGAUUGGAACUGAAACCGUCUUCUCCAUUUUUGGACGGAUUUGGGAGAGAGGUUUGAGAGAGGAAACUGAGGUGAGUAGUCGUAGUAUUUGGUAUUUGUUGAGAGAAUUUGAAAACCCUGAAAGGGAGGGAAUUUAAAACCGGAUUCCAUUUGCUUGAGACGGAGGCGAUAUCCGACGUGGCGCCCCUUUUUUAAAUAAUUUAUUUUUACACUUUGAUGGACGACGUCGUUUGCUACGCGUAAAUAUGUCCCAUUGUACAUGUACUUGUCCACAGAGAGCCCAACAAGUACUCGUAUUACUAUAUUUUAAAAAAUAAAGAAAAUUAGACAAAGUGUAUAAAUGCAAUAAAGGGUCAUAAUUUAGGAAAUGUGUAUAAAUGUGAAAGAGAAUUCUUUUUGGAUAAAUGAGGAUAUUAAUUAUUAAUAUGUUAACGAGUACCCAUUGACACUUUUUAAAAAAACUCAUGUGCUUUUUUUUUUACCUCCUUCAUAGGGUACCGGUCAAAAUUAGGUAAGUUUGAGUUUCUUGAAAAAAAAAUUCAAAGUUAAAGGAAGUGAAUUGCGAAAAAUAAAAGUUUAGGAUGCAAAGUCCAAUUUGGAAAUAGUUUUGGAUGCAAAGUGCAAUUAACCCAAAAAAAGGAAGAAGAAGAGAGAGAAUUAAAACCUUAUCUCCCUGUAACGGCUUCAACUUCCUAAUAAGUGUUUUGCUUGAAUAUGAGCUAUCUCGUUUUAGGGGAAGAUGAUGAUUUCUUUAAAUGAUUAAUGCAAAUCAACCAUGAUAGAAACUCUCUCAUUCAAAUAGUUUUGCUCAAUCAUUUAAACAAGUGAAUUUAGUAAUGAGCUUCUUUUUCUUUUUCUUUUUCUUUUUUUUUUUUUUAAAGGAUCGAUCUUAUAAGUUUGAUUAGUGAUUGAACUAUAUAUUUGUAAUCUUCCGCCGAAUAAAAAUUUAUUUGCAAUCAGAAAGAAAAAGUUGAGCAUUUGAAUUAUUUUAAAAUUUUUAAUGAUUUCUUCAUAGUUGCUUGUGCUUCUCCACGGAUGUGAUGGAAAUAAAGUUGAUGAGCACAUCACAGACUGGCAUGACCCACAUGUUACAUAAUCAAAUUAAGCUAAUCCAAAGAUUUUUGAAUUUUUGAAACUUUUCCUCAAAAAGUAUAUGGCAUAGAAAUUGAAUUUGAACGGUUCUAUACUAUUAGCGAGGAACUUGCAAAUUCAGAAUUCUCACUUCCCAAGUGAUGGAAGAGCACCGAAAUAUUCAGCCAGCGGAGUAGACUGAGAAAUAGAAAGUGACUGAUUCUGAUAAUGCUCUAGUUUUUGUUACAUUUUGCUUUAUACUACUAGCUAGUAUGAUGAUUCUAUUACAAAAACACACUCCUCUUUGGAAAACUUCGCUGAAAGUGCUUGUAUUCAUGCGACGAAAGGAAAUGAAUGCCCGUAAAAACUAGUACCAGUAUGCAUGCCAAGACUUCCAGAUUUUACUGCAGAAACCCUGUUGAUGUUGAUGCAGCGGAAGGAAUAAAAAAAACACUGAGAGUGUAUCGCCGCCAAUACAUUCUCAAGCUUUAACCAGACGGACUAACCAAGCCGCCAGGAUCAACUCGUUGCAGUUCAAAACAGGCAGCAAAACAUCUGCACAGAGAAACAACGAUUAAAGUGAGAUAAAUGCGCGUGCCGGGUCCAAAUUACGAGCAUUUCCUUGUAGAAAUAAAUUGCAGACCUUUGAUUUAGCGUCCCUUUUAUGGCUUUCUGCAUUGUUGCUAGACUGAGGCUGCUGUGCAGGUGCGAAUUUUGAUGCAGCGAUUCGUUUUUCCUCCUUCACUUUGUUGAAGAUUACAGUAAAACCUUCUCCAGAUCUGGGGUCUCGUUCAUCCCAAGCCCCGAAUUUGGGAACAGAUGCUGAAUUGUAAGACUGAUUGAGAAGAAAUCGGCAGGAGCAUACGAACAGGUCAAUUAUGAGUGCAACAUUAGUAAUGUGCAACUAACGAGAUGUGUAAAACAGUAGCAAUUCCAGACCGGUAUUCUGCAAUUAUUAAGCAAAUGUUAACCUGCUUUAAUACUGCAGAGUGCAGUGCAUGUUCAGUCUUUGAAUCACAAACAUAUAGUUUUGCCUAGAAAUGAAGAACACCGUUCAAACUACACAGCUUGGUAUUUUCAAGAAAGGCAUGGCACAAGGAUGAGUUCCUCUAUGUAUUCUUCAGUUUUGAAACAAAAUCAUUUUUACUGAAAGCACCGUUUAGAAUUUUGUAGUUUUAGCUUGUCAUUACACACAGAAACAAUCGAGAACCGGCUGGAUGGGAAACCAAAUGCUUACAAGGUCAUCAGAUGUAUCACUUCCACCUCUUGCCCUGCGUGCAGGUGACAAUGGAAUAAAACUAUUGCUAUUCUCAGUCAUCAUACUCUUCUUGCGUUCAGAUCUCUUUUGCUGGUGUGGAUUGUCAUAAUUGUUUUUAUCAGUGAUUGAUUCUGAACCAGGGCUCUUCUGACCAACACUUUUUGGUUCAUCGGAAGUGUUUCUCCAAUGACCAUAGCGCUGCUUUUGUCGGUAUUUUUCUGAAGAAAUUGGCCUGACAAGGUUUCUUUGCAAAGGAGUAGGGCUGAACUCAGAAGCUUCACCUCCGUUUAUCAAUCCUGAAAACAUGAAGGCCUCAGGAUUCUCCUCCGGAUCAUUUGGAUUCAUUCUGAUACCACUUAUCUUCUCUUUCCGCGCAUUGUCAAAGUAGGCCGUGUAGGGUACAUUUUCACCAUCCCAAUUUCCAAACUUUGGAACAUGCGAUCGCUGCUGCAGCCAAGUCAUUUAAAAUUCAUGUGCUUAUUUUAGAAACUGCAAUGUUGCAAGUAAUUCCAAAAGGUAACAAGAAACACAACACAACUUGAAUACCUGCAAUAACUAUAAAAAGCUAUCCAACAGCAGCAGAAAUUGGGUACUGGAUGCAAGGAAGAACACAUAAUACAGUGAUUUCAAGCAUAAUUCAGUUGGAGUCUUUCAGAAAACAAAAUUGUCUAAGGACUUGCCAAAGAAGAUUUGUAUUCUCAGCUAGAUGAGUUAGUACUUGUAACAGCCGGAUUCAAAAACAUCACCAGCUGUCUAUGCUAGAAUACUGCAAUUGAGUCGCGUGGAGGAAUCCAAAUUAAAAUCAUCUUUCGCCAUGAUUUGUUCAAAAAGGGUCAUUUUUGCCUCUAAUAAUGGAUUGUUGCAAUUCGGAUAGAAUAUCAUGCUUAGUUAGCAGGAUUAUGCUAAAUUUUAGAAUGCAAUCACAACAAUCCUGCACCAAACUGGAGUCCAGGUUGCACCUGUCCUAGCCAACAAAUUCUGAAGUUGCAGAGUUGAACUAGUCCCACUAAACAAAAGCAGUUCAACAGCAAAACGAAACACUUUAAAACCGUGUGCAGAAGAAAAGAAGUACUACCAUGCCAUAACUGAAACAAGAAACAAGAAAAUAGGGAGAGGAUGACAAGAUAGAACUCACAGCCAUGAAGCGAUUAUGCUUCUUGUCUUUCUAGAUGUUUGAGUCUGGGAACGACCUCUUUUUUAGUUCAAAAACACCAAUGGAGGAAAGGCCCUCGAGAAAACUGAGAGGUCCAUUUCAAGGUGGAAAUCCCAAUAAGGGAAUGGGUCUGCAAAAUGCGGCAGCUGAUGAUUCGAUGGUUUCCAAUAAACCGCAUUUGUUUGAACGCAAAUUAAAACAAGCAUUGUUCGACUAAACAAUGUAAUCAUGCAAUCUUUUUCUGUUGGAAUGUUGUUUGUAACAUAUACUACUUGUCUCAUUCAUUCACUUGGUAGAGAGUUGUGUGUUGUUUGUGGGAUUGAAGUGCCGACCAACAAUUCUUAGAUGAUCAAAUCAAGGUUGUCAUCACUCUAAUUUACAUCAUCUAUUAACUCGGUACCUUAUUUCUUUGUCCCCCUUUAAACUCUUAAAUGAUUUUCUCGUUGUUUUCCUUUUAUUUUAUUUUUUUUCUGUUUGAUUUUCAAAUCCUUUUUAUGUUUUUUUGCAACGGAGAGGGAAUCAAUUGAAAACCAUAUACAAGUUUCUGCAGGAGGCCUGGCCUUUGCCGCUGGGCUAAGACCAUGGGCUCAAUGUUAACGCGUCGCCCUUCUUUGUAAUUGGAUAGAUACAACAUAUAACUUUCACAGGCUUUGGUCCAUUUCUCUUAUCCAAACACUUGACCCCCAAAGCGUUCUUAAUUUAUCAGUGUUUUGGAAAGAGGGGGGGAAAAAAAAAGAAAAAUUGCACCUUUUUUUUUUCUGGACAUAAAAAGAGUUGAGAGCAAUCACAUUAGAUCCCUUAAUUUAGAAAUUGGAGAAACCGAUCCAUGAAACUUUAUCUCUGAUUGAAUUGAAACUCAAUUUUGCUUUCUUACAGUCUUUGCAUUGUAAUACACACACAUCUUAUCAAGAAUCAUCAGAAAAUUGUAUGCUAUUGCUAGCCAUACUUGGUUCCAUUUUUUUUUUAUUAUUAAAAUUUGGAGCCACCUCCUCAUCCUCCUCCACCGGGGAAUACUAAUCAAAGUCUGCACAAAAAAACGACGAGUCAAAAAAGAAAAAAAAAAUCAAAGCUAACAAAAAUCUGAAAGGGAAUUCAUUUUAGUACUUGUUGCAGUCGACUUUUUCGUCAAUGGGGAUUGUGGCAUUAAUCUGACAAAGCUGAGGAAGUUGCUUAGCGUUAUCCAGUUGGACCUCCAUGGCCUUUCCAACUCGCACUAGACAUUCGCAGAUGUCUUUGCGGUGCGGCUGAGAAGACGCUGCAAUCUGGUUCAGGGCGGCAGCGGCGAAGCAGCAAGGGAAUGUGACUAUUCCAUACCCCAACAAGAAAGGCUCGCAAGGCCAUAUCGCCAUCACCGCCUCUCUACAUUGCAUCCCAUUUGCCGGGCUUACUAAGAUCAGACCCAAAACCACCAAACACCAGGAAAUCACGUCUUUUUCUGCCAUGUUAAUCUUUAAGGAAGUUGAUGGGUGAAGUAGAAUUCAGGAGACAGCUGCUAGAAAUCAAUUGAGUGUUCUAACGCAAGGUACUUUGGAGCUCUUUAAUUUGGUUGUCUCAUGGAAGGACCGAAUAUAUAAGGAGCGAUCUUGGGAUAAUUAGGCCAUGUUUGUUAAGAAAUUAAUGUGGAAGUGACUGUCCUUAUGCAAAUACAAAAUCAUAUUAAUUGCUUUCAGCAUCUAGUGUCACAACAAAUAUCAUCACAAUUUGCCUAUAAAUGCCUAACUACCCUCACAAGAGAUCAACAGUAAUCUUUCAAAAAAAAAAAAAAUCAACAGUAAUUUCUCAAAAUUUGUUAGGGGCUCUUUCAUAGCACACAUAAUGGAGAUAGAGGACCCCUUCACCGCCCACCUCCUCCAUUUCUUACAAAAUCAAGUUUUUUUCUCUCUUGAAAAAUUAAAAUGAAUUAUUAUUUUUGCCCAAAGAGAAUUGCAUUUUUCGUCCCAAAUAUUUGGGACAUGAGCCCUUCUAGUCCCUAAAGUUUAGAAAAAAACAAAUGUAGUCCUAAAUAUUUCAAUUUCUAAGCAUAUUUGUCGUAUAGACUGAUUUUUUAAAAAAGAAUUUAAAAACUUGAAAAUAAAUAUUGUUAGCCAUAUUAUUGGUACGUACCAGCAAGCAAAAAUCUCUUCUUUCCAGCUUUUCAUGUAUUCUACUAUCCAUUUUCAUUAACAAUGUUUACAAUUGGACUAAUGACUAUAAGAUAGAGAUGGCAAAUUAGCGGGGAGUGGGGACUUAAAUAGUACAAAAAAAUAUGAGUAUAUACAUACCGAAGCAGUCCCUUAAAAGUUAUGGGACCAAUAUUGGCGUGAAUAAAAUGGUUUAGACCCAUUUUGAUACCGUCGAAAUGCCCAAUAAAUCCCAUUUUUUAUCAAUUCAAUGUAAAAAACUCAGCGAGGACGAGUCUCCACGUCUCGGCUAAUUGAUUAGAAUAUUGUUACUUGACAAAAAGUUCGGUCAAAUAUAACCCCUUGGUUGUCUGAUAUCAAUCUAUGCCCGAUCAGCAAAAAUUUGCUGACGACACUUCAUUCACCUGGCCUACGAUUCCGACGCAUCUAAUGGGCUUUUAUCCGAUAUUGCUAAUAUUUCCUCUUUUACUUCUAACCGUAUACUGCUGAGUUUCAAAAACAUAGACAUUACUUAUACAGAACAAAUGCAAGAAUACAGUAUGUCAAGUAGGUAAUCAAGGUCAAUUUGCAAAAUUUCAGUUACAGUUUCAAAUUCCCAAAGAUACAGCACUUGUACAAAUUAUGAAUUAGUUGAAAUUUAGCAGCCGGACCACCCCAAAAGCGAGUCAAUAAUGUCUUUCCAUAACUGAGAUAUCUAAGCAUCCAUAAAAAACAAAGUUGAUCGUGAAGGCAAAGCAAGCAGCUGCGAUCCCAUUAUAGGACACCACAGGCCAAUUGUUCAACUGCCGGAGGACCACUUCAGUAACGCAACAGCGGAAGAAGCUUACACUUCCCAUCUCAACAUUCCACUUCUUCCAGUUGCCAGCUCAGGUUCCUCAUCAGGCAAUCAUUGUCUUCCACUUGCCAGUUCCUCCAAUAUAUUUGAGAUACAAGGCAAGAACUCAACGUCAAAAUCAAAGAAUACUUGCACAGCCAGAUAAUC
rnacentral:lncRNA from 1 species